UUUUUUUUUUUUUUUGGGUACUACACAUUAUUACGGAUCCAAUUAUCAUAAAAUUAAUUUUAAGAUAAAUUGAUCAAUUGAUCAAAACAGUGCUAACACGCAGAGAGUGAUCACCUCCCGAUUUGCGUGUCAACACUGUAUUGAUCAAUUGACCAAAGUUAACUUCAUGUUAACCACUCCCCAUUAUUUUAGUAUCUGGUUCCCAAAAUUUUACUUGGAUAUAUAGUAUUGUGGCUAUGAUCAAAAAGUAGAAAACUUUUGAACUUUUUUUCUGUAACAAACUAUUACAGUCAUCUAAUUGUGACAAUCAUAGUCAAACUUUUAUUUCUCUCUAUAUAUAGAUAUAGAUAUGCGUAUAAAUUAUCCGAUUGAUAAAUAAACACAAUUGGGUUUGGUUUUAAAUGUGAUAUGUAUCUCUACUAAAAAGUGAGCGGAGAGCGCUAGGCUGCAUGUAUAGCGCGGAGCGCGUCAGUGACGAUCUGAAAGCGGCGCGGGGCGUGCCGAUCGGCGGACAGAGUUUUGCUGGUUCGUUUGUUGGAAGAAUAUUAUGAGUAUUUAAAUUAUAAUGUGAAGUAGGGUUGAAAUAGAAUUAGUAGCUAUAAAUACUAUUUAUUAUAAAGUCCUAUGUAAUUGAAAUCAUCAAUAAAAAUAACAAGCUGCCUGUGGAAUACUCAAAUUAAAAAACUACGUAAAUCUCUGUGUUAAUUAUCUAUUGUUGUGUGCGCGUAUGAUUCUAAUUCUAACAAAAACAUUGGAAUAAAUAUCUUGUUAUUAACCCUCACCCCUACCUAGGUAUACCUGUGUGCUGCAACCUGCAAACCCAUGGCCACCUCAUGUAGAUGUAGUUUUCCAAUAGGUAGAAAGGUGUAGUUGGUUAAUGGAGUGAGGUCAUUGUCCUUGUUUCUAGUUUCUAGUCUUUUUUCUCAUUAUAGAACAUAUAUAUAUAAUAUUCCAAUAUUAAUGGACUGCGCGCUGCUAUAUAUUAAAUAUAUCUAUGCUUUCAUGCUUGAAUUCUAAACAAUGUGCCAUCAAUGCAGAAGAGCACAUUGUACCUAUUGAUGGCAUGGGCAAAGAGACUUUCCUAUACCCUAAAACAUUUUUAUAUAUGCAAUUUGUGAACCAAAUUAUGGAUUUCAUAGAGUGAGAUUGGGACAAAACAAACAAAAUUAUUUAAACCUUACAAGUUACAACAACAUGACUCCUUUUUUUCACUAAAAAUAAUUUAUAAUAUAUAUAUAUAUAUAUAUAUAUAUACACGGUUCGGAUCUUAAACUCACCCCUUAUCUAACAUACAUUACUCACCUUCUUUUAACGAUGAACCGGACGACGAUUUGAUCUGUCACUUAUUUAUAUAUAAUAUUUUCCUUAUGAUUUUUGAACAUCCUAACAUUUGAAGCAUAAAGCUAAGUGCAUGUAUGAACUAAAAUUUUAACAUAUACUAAUUAUAGUGAUCAUGUUAAUCUUCUCUAUAUUGCAUGUUUCCCAAUAACUUAACUUUACUAAAUAUAGUUUUAAAAUGAGUUUAGAUGGUUUAAUCAUGAUAAUUAUUGGCUUAAGGGCACUCCCUGGUGGUAGGUGGGCCAUGUAAUUAGCUAGGGUAGUAGAUUAUAUUUAUAUAAAACAACUCCCAUUUUAUCAUUCAGGACACGUGGAUCACAAGAGCUAGGUAAGGANNNNNNNNNNNNNNNNNNNNNNNNNNNNNNNNNNNNNNNNNNNNNNNNNNNNNNNNNNNNNNNNNNNNNNNNNNNNNNNNNNNNNNNNNNNNNNNNNNNNAUAUAUAUAUAUAUAUAUAUAUAUACUAGUUGAUUGUGGUGGGUUAGUUUGAAUAACGAAUUGUAUAAUUUAUUAAAAUUAUUGCGAUAAAAAAUAUAUAUUUUUAUAAUAAGUUUUUUGUUGCGAUAUUUCAUCUGAAUUUUACAUCGGAUAAAUUCAAAAGUGUAAAUGAUUUAAUAAGUAUGGUGAAAUCUUAACCUAAUAUUUUAACUUUAUAGAUAAGGAAGUAAUCUAACAUAUUUAUUGGACCAAUUUAUACGAGAUGGAUACAAUAAACAUUGUAUUCAAUGUCAUACAGUUGUUGUUCCAUUUUUUGUUCUGCACUUCGAAUUUUUUUCUCUAAAUCUGCAAGCAACCGAUGUCUGAAAUGGAACCUCUGAGAAAUUUGUGGUAUUAUUUUAUGCUUUUAUUUGGAAACUUGAAAUCUUUGUACCGUUAAACUUUGAGGUAGAGGAUUCGUAUGAACCAAAAUUGGAUGCCGAGUCCGUUCAAUAUUGAUCAAGUUAGGGUUCGUUUCUACAGAUACAUCAUAGGAUAGGGUAUGAUAUCUGUUUAAUUAUAACUUAUCGAUCAGUAAUUGAUAAUUUUAAAAGUUCGCAAAUCUAAUGCUUAUCAUAUUCUCUAUCUAUCUGCAUUUGAGACUCUCAUAAUUAUCAUUUUUACAUGUUAAAAAAAACUGCAAGUAGCAUAUAUAUAAGCAUGAGGACAACUUCUCAUGCCUACUUGCGAUUUGAAUCUGAUUAGUGAUUAUUUAAUAAACUACAAAAAUUCUACUUAAUUUAUCGAAUAUGUAUGGAUUCAUGAGCAAAAAGUAAAUAUAAAAACUUACCUGAGAAUUGCAUGCUUCCGUGUUUGUGAUUUUUAAAUAUGGGAUUACAGACAUGUAGAACAAGCAUUAUUGUUGGGCCAUGAUUCUUUUUCUUAUUGGGCCAGAUUUAAUGGGCUCCUCCCUUAGAUUAUGUUACUUUUGUCCUAUUGAUUCGAAUGAUUUGAGCCCAAUUACUUGAUCAUUUAGUUGGGUUGUCUCGGUUGGAUCCGGUCAUAUGAGUCAUUUCCUUUAUUUGGGCUUAGUCAUUGAAUUAGCCUAUUAUGUAAAUUAUCACUUAACCCAACUUUGACCGGUAAUCAUUACGCCAAAUAAUAGUUGAUUGUUAUGUCUGCCACCUUUCUGCAUGGCAUUAAUGAGGAUGAGACUCAGAUAACCGGCGGUGGCAAAUAGUGGUAGCAGGUGAGGAAGUAGGCUACAUACUUUCGGCUGAAAUGACCGGGAGUGGGGAAAAGGUAUCAGGAGGUGAUGGGUGGCACGGUAAACCGGGAUUGGAGUACGUAUGGGGCUAAGAUCACAACAAAAAGGGAGGUAAGUAACAAAUUAUAAUAACACACGAUCAUAUUAUUAUUUUUCUCUCAGACAUUAGACAUUAUUUUCCCUCCAUUGUUGACCUUGUGAUCGCCGAUACUGACUCUCACGCCGGAGCUAUCCCCCGACGGUCCGGCCGUCAAGCUUUUGGUGUUGACUUGUUGAACUGUGCAGGAUAUCGGACGCGUCUUGGUGAUUGGGACGUGGAGAAAGAUCUUGGCGUUAACAUUGGCGCUAGAAGGAGGGCGUGAGUUCUAGUAUCUUGAGUAUUUUUCAAUCACAAACUGUAUUUGUUCUACGUCAAUAUUCAUGGUGAAGAGUAGAACACCUACACCCGAAGGGCAGCCUAUGGCUGUCAGUGAAUCAACACCGCGAGUGUCUGUCAAGGAUCGUUUGGGACCUGCAAUAAGUGUUCAUGCCAGCACAGCGUCCAAACGAUCACAUGAAGAUUUUCGGCCGAGGGCUGUGGGCAACGUCAAGCGUAAGCUAGUUUUCCCGACAGAGAAGGGGUCUGGCCAUGGUCGGAAACGGGUAGAAGGCACCUCGCCUAGAACUCGAUACCGAAAUGACCAAGACGAAAAAGCCUCACGACUGGCUAAAAUGGCAGAUGAAGCGGAUAGGGCCAUGGAGGCACUUGUGAAACAGCGACAGGAGCUGAGCAAAUGGCUCGAAUGACGGAGUUGAGAGACGAAGAGUUCAGUUAUGUUCAGUCCGAAGAGCUAGGGCAUCGGAGUGGGAAGGAGCCUGCCCAUUCAGGACGUGGGUAUCGGGGCCAACCACGAGAAAGAAGAAGAUCCCGAAGCCCUACUCCUCCAAGAUCGAAGAGGGCACAUCACCCUGUCGACUCUAAGGAGCAGGGUCGAAGCGAACGAAGAAGUCGAUCCAGAGAUCGCACUCCUAAGAGCACAAAGAAAGCACUUGUUGUUGCACAUUCCCGCCAGAGCGCCCGAGUUUAUAGACGAAGUAUAUCUAGAGAUCAUACUCCCGGGAGUCUACUGAGGGUAUAUCACCCUGUAGACGCUCGUCAUCGGAAAAGUCCCUCUAAAGUUGGAGGAUCUAUUGUAAGAAAUCGGUCUACUCAGAAGAGGAAGGAGUCACCGGAAAAGAAGCAUCGUCUCAACCAGAGGGCGUGGAGUAUUUGGUUAAAGAAUUAAAGGAGCUUCAGAAGCAGCUUGCCGAAGUGCAAAAAACGAAGGAUACUUCGGGAAAGAAGGCAUCCCUUUUUUUCGAGGAGAUUCUAAAAGAGAAGGCUGAUCCCACCAAGAAGUUGCCCCACAUUGAAAGUUAUGAUGGAUCGGGGGAUCCUUACGACCACAGUCAGGCGUUCGACUGACUGAUGGAUUAUUAUGACUUUAGCGAUGCUGCUAAAUGUCAUACUUUUGUCACAACGCUUAGAAAGGAUGCCCGACAGUGGAUGGGGACCUUACCCUCAGAUUCAAUCUCAUCUUGGGAAAACAUGUGCAGUAAAUUUCAUGCUCGCUUUGGGACCAACAAAAGAAGGGGAAAACCAACUGGUUCAUUGGCUCAAGUUCGGUAGUCUUCUAAUGAGUCUUUAGGCCAAUAUGUGAAGCGGUUUCGUGAAGCAGUCGGCCAAGUGACAGACCUGAACGAUCUACAAGCUGUGGGACUGUUUCAGAAUGGGUUAGAUUUGGUCAAAUCGGAAAAGUUGGUGAAGAAACUAAUGUUUAAUCACCCGAAGAGUCUCGCUGAAGCCUUUGACAAAGCCGAAGGCUACAUCGUGGUGGAGGAAGCCAUGAGCAGCCUCAAACGUCCUUCUUCAGACCGGCUUAAGGAGACAGAUCGGGACAAAACCGAUGGGGACCAGAAGAAGAAUGAAGGGAGUAAAGACCGUUAUGAGGGCGGGUCGAAGAGAUAUAAUAAUUGGAGACAGGGUGGAGGACGUUCGUCCGCUCCAGCCCAAAGAGUGAAUAAGACGUACACGGCACCCAAUGCAGACAGGGCUGUUAUCUUGGAUCAGAUUAAAAAUCAACCUAUCUAUGAGCCACCUCGAGAUAACAUUAAGCCUGGAAAAGGGAAUCCUCGUAAGUACUGUGAUUACCAUCAAGCUUCGGGUCACGAUACGAAUGACUAUGCUAGUUUGAAAGAUUUCAUUGAAAGAAUGGUACAAGGUGGGGCCUUAAUUCAGUAUGUGGCUGCCAGAACUAAUCAACAACAAGAUAGAGGACCUGUUCCGACAGCUCAACCAGUUCAGCAAGAGUUGCCAGCUCCGGGAUAGCCUGCAAGGCAUGUGAUAGAUGUCAUCACUGGGGGUACAUCUGGCAAGCUUGUUGGAAAGAAGCGCCGAAGUUACUUGGAUUCGGUCAUGUCAGUGGCGGGUACCCUCCCGAAGACUGAUAGAUCUUAUCCAAGUACGGUAAUCUCCUUUACUGAUGAAGAUUACCCUUCGGAAGUCAUCGAACCGCACGAAGGAUCAUUAGUGCUGACUGCGCAAGUGGGUUCGGUGGAUAUGAAGCGGAUGAUGGUAGAUAAUGGGUCUUCUGUAGAUAUCUUGUACGCCCACGCUUAUCAAAGGAUGAAUCUGGACGGGCGGAAGAUGGAGAUAGGGCAGGAGGCUCCUCUGUAUGGUUUUAGUAAUGAUCCAGUCAAGGUGGCUGGGACCAUUGAGCUACCGGUAAUCUUUGGAACGGCCCCUCAACAGGUAGAAAUUAUUUGCAAAUUUUAUGUUGUGCAUGUAGAUUCUGCUAAUAAUGCUAUUUUGGGGAGGCCUACUUUAAUUGCUUUACAAGCUGUAACAUCAAUACCUCAUUUCAAAAUCAAAUUUCCUACGGCUCACGGGGUUGGGGAGGUUAAAGGAGAUUUGGAUCUGGCCAGAAGGUGUUACAGAAAUGCUGUGAUUACUUCGGGAGUGGGGGUAUCGAAGCAGAAGCAGACCAUGGCGAUAGAAAUCGAGCCCUUCACUGAGAGUAAUUCCGAGCCAUUAGUCAUGCCAGCUGAAGAAACAGAAGAGAUAGAGCUCAUCCCGGGCAAGGUGAAAAUAGGUUUGGGUUUGCCGGAACCUCUCCGGACGAACCUUGUGGAACUCCUGAGGUGCUAUGUUGACAUCUUCGCGUGGGAACCUCAGGAUAUGCCCGGAGUAAGUAGGGAUAUUGCUGAGCAUCGAUUGGAAGUAGACCCGUCAAAGAAACCAGUACGGCAGAAGAGGAGGAUCUUUGCACCUGAGCGUCAACGGAUCAUAGAUGAAGAGAUUGCAAAACUGUUGGCAGCUAACUUCAUCUUUGAGAUCGACUACCCACAGUGGAUGGCAAAUGUGGUGCUGGUCCAGAAGCAGAAUGGUAAAUGGCGAGUCUGCAUCGACUAUACUGAUCUGAACAAGGCCUGUCCGAAGGAUUUCUACCCGCUGCCCCACAUCGUUCAACUCAUUGAUGCCACUUCGGGAUAUUCUUUAUUAAGUUUUAUGGAUGCAUUCUCUGGGUAUCAUCAGAUCUCCAUGUGUAAAGAGGAUAUACCGAAGACGGCGUUCAUUACGUAUCGUUCGGUAUAUGCCUCUAAGAAAAUGACUUUCGGCCUCAUCAAUGCCGGAGCCACAUACCAGAGGAUGAUGAACCAUGUCUUCAGAUAUCAGUUGGGCAGGAAUAUUGAGGUGUAUGUGGAUGACAUGAUUGUCAAAAGCAUGUUGGUGCAUAAGCAUUUGGAUGAUUUAGAGGAAUGCUUUCAGACAAUUCGUCAUCACAACUUGAGACUGAAUCCCACUAAGUGCACCUUCGGUCUAGGGGUUGGCAAAUUUCUGGGUUAUCUUGUCAGUCAAAGAGGAAUUGAAGCCAAUCCAGAAAAGAUUCAAGCGAUCCUAAACAUGAAGACUCCUCAGUCAUUUAAAGAUGUUCAACGUCUGACUGGAAGGAUUGCAGCUUUGCGGAGGUUCAUGUCCAAGUCGCCAGAAAGAUGUUUGCCAUUUUUUGAUACGUUAAAAGGACCGAAGAAUGCAAAGACGUUCCAAUGGACUUCGGAGUGUGAAGACGCCUUUCAAAGCAUCAAGUCCUACUUAUCUUCGGCGCCUUUGUUGGUAAACCCCGUUCCUGCCGAGCCUCUAUAUUUGUACUUAGCAGCUAGCUCGUUGGCGGUAGGAGCGAUUUUGGUACGUGAAGUUGGGGAUAUGCAGCACCCGGUUUAUUAUGUAAGCCAUGUCCUUCGGGAUGCUGAAACAAGGUACCCAAACAUUGAAAAGUUUGCUUUUGUUUUAAUAACUGCUAGUCGAAAGCUUAGGCAAUACUUCCAGGGUAGAUUGGUAAUAGUAUACACAGAUCAGCCUUUAAAGAAGAUUAUGGACAAACCAGAGGUAUCGGGGAGACUAGCUGCAUGGACAAUGGAGUUGUCCCAAUUUUUUAUUGAAUAUUAUCCCCGAACCGCCAUCAAAGGGCAAGCCUUGGCUGAUUUUGUGGUUGAGUGCUCGUUUUCUGAAGCUGAUGAAGUCGUGGCCGAGGCUGAAGGAUCUGACAGAGCAGUUGUCGUUCUUCAACAGAAGGAGAGUUCAUGGACACUGUAUGCAGAUGGGUCUUCUACUACGGACGGCAGUGGAGCAGGGAUUAUCUUGACGAGUCCGGAGGGAUUCAAGGUGCAACAGGCCAUCAGAUUUCAGUUCAAAGCGACAAACAACGAAGCUGAGUAUGAGGCAGUACUUGCAGGGUUACGAUUAGGGAAGAGUCUUGAAGUGCAGAGAAUAGUCAUCUUCAGUGAUUCACAGUUAGUCGUUAAACAAUUCUCUGGGGAAUACGAAGCUCGAGGCCCUAGAAUGAUCAAGUAUCUUGCAGAAUUGAAGGAACGGCUUCAGUAUUUCUAAUUCUACGAAUUUCAGGGGGUCGAACGUAAUAACAAUUCCAUUGCUGAUGCACUCUCCAAACUAGCCACUACGGAUGUUAACGUCUUUGAUGGGUCGGUUUACUUAGAAAUUUUGCAACAUCCUAGUGUUCAUCAUGAAGCGGUGAUGUGCAUCGACAGAACCAACUGCUGGUUGACUCCAUACCUGGAGUAUCUGGCAGAUGGCGUCUUACCUUCGGAUUGGAUGCUAGCUAAGAAAAUCAAGUACAAGAGUGCUAAUUUUGUUCUGAUUGAUGGAGAUCUAUUCCGAAGGGCUUUCUCGUCUCCACUACUGAAAUAUUUGACUCCCUCUGAAGCUGAAUAUGCUCUCCGAGAAGUACAUGAAGGCAUUUGUGGCGAUCAUGUGGCUGCUAAGUCAUUAGCCUAUAAAGUGCUUCGUCAAGGGUACUACUGGCCAACCAUAUUCAAGGAAGCAACUGAGUACGUUAAGAAGUGCGAGAAGUGCCAACUCAACAGUCCAAUACCGCAUCAGCCACCAGAAGAGCUAUACUCGAUCUUAUCUCCUAUACCCUUUGCUGUCUGGGGGGUUGAUAUACUGGGUCCGUUGCCGAAAGCGAAAGGUCAAGUCAGUUUUGUUAUAGUUGCCAUCGACUAUAUGACCAAAUGAGUAGAAGCAAAGCCACUUAGGUCAAUAACGGAACAGGAGUGCUUGAAAUUUUUGAAAGAGUCAGUAGUAUUCCGUUUUGGAAUUCCUAAGGUGGUAAUAUUGGACAAUGGACGUCAGUUUGUGGGAUCGAAAUUUGAAGCAUUUUUGAAAGAACUAGGGAUCCAGCAUAGAAAGACUUCAGUAGCUCAUCCUCAGUCAAACGGACAGGUUGAAGUGACCAACAGAACGCUGCUGAAUGGGAUCAAGCACAGAAUGGACGAAGCUAAGGGCAAAUGGCCAGAAGAGCUACUUAGUGUGCUAUGGGCUUAUCGUACUACUCCAAGGACUACAACGGGGGAUUCACCCUUCAGAUUGGCCUAUGGCACUGAUGCCUUAGUCCCAAUUGAAAUUGGAUCUCCAAGUCUUCGAGUUAGUCAAUUCAGAGAGAUCUACAAUGAAGAAGGGCUGAAGGCCAAUCUUGAUUUGCUUGAAGAAGUCAGAGAAACAGCCUUAAUUAAAUUGACAGCCUAUCAACGCAGAGUAGCCAAGCAUUAUAAUAAGGGGGUAAAGCUUCGCAGAUUCGAAGUAGGAGAUUUUGUCCUCAGAGAAGUUGAAGCAUCUACGCCUCAGAAUCUGGGAAAGCUGAUGCCAAAUUGGGAAGGACCGUAUGAAAUCACUGAAGUGCCGAAGCCGAAGACUUAUCGGUUGAAGGCAUUAGACGGGUCAGUAAUUAAAAAUACUUGGCACGCUGGCAGGCUUAGGAAGUACUUUCAGUAGAUUCAAUGUCAGUACAUCGGAAGUCUGUAAAUAUUUACAUCAUCAUCAAUAAAAAUUCCCCUUUUCUCUCAAACAAAUUUUGUCUCUGUUGCUGCUCAGUUCAUUGGUGUUAGGAGGUUCGGGAGGACUCGCUGACCAUUCGAUGGUAGCCUCUUCGGCAGUUGGUCCUUAUGAGUUUGUCAGGUCCUUCGUGGUAGGCAAACGUCAUUGGUGUUAGGAGGUUCGGGAGGACUCGCUGACCAUUCGAUGGUAGCCUCUUCGGCAGGUGGUCCUUAAGGCAUUGUCAGGCCCUUCGUGGUAGGCAAUUGUCGUCACUUAGACCUUGUCAGGCCCUUCGUGGUAGGCAAGUGUCACCCUUAAAGCAUUGUCAGGCCCUUCGUGGUAGGCAAGCGUUGUCCUCCAAACUUCGUCGGGCCCUUCGUGGUAAAUGAAUGUCAUCCUUUGGUUCUGUUAGGCCUUUCGAGGUAAGCAAACUCCCGAUGAAGCAGAUCUGUCUCACACUUCGGUAACUGAAUAAGUAUCUCUUUACUUUAUUACCUAAAAUUUUUCUAAGUGUUGAGUUCGGAAUGCCUCAUUCUUUAACCUCACCUUAUCUGUUAUAUGACAUGCUUAAUUGUUAAUUAACAAUUUGAGUUGAAUCCUUGAAGGGGUUUUGUACAUUUUUCCAGAUGAAUUAAUAUUGAAGUAUUGACAGGAAGUAAAAAUGCACUGAAGUCAUAAGGGAGAAGAUCACUUUUCAUUAAUAUUUAAUCUACUUACAAUAUUAGAAAAUAACAGAAAUUUCUACAAAUGUUCUUUAAAUAAAACCAAGGAAAAACAAAAGCUGUCACUUCAAGCAGCGUCCUCGUCAUCUGAAGAGUCGAGCAAGGAUGGAUCUAUGUUGGAUGUGAUCAACUUCUCCUUGCCACGACUUCGGCAGAGCUCGUAGCUUUCAGUAUGUAUCUUCAUGAUCUCUCCGUUGAUUUCAUCCGAGUUCCGAUACUCUUCACAGAUUUGUUUGCGAAGAUCAUCAGUUAAAGGAGGCCCAAGGUCCCGAAGAGCCUUGAGUUCUCGGAUUUCUUCUUCGAGCUUCUGGCGUAUAUUCAUCUGACGAGUUUCUUCCCGCUCCAACUUAUGAAUCGUCUUAGUUAAGAGCUUAGAAUCAGCCUUUAGCUCUUUGAUCUUAUCCAUCCUUAUUUCACUCCUCUGAACCAAGUCGACAUUCAUCUUGACGAUCUCCUCAUACUGUGCUUUAGUCGACUUCAGUUCUUCCUUGGAGGUCUUUACGUCUCCCUUGGCUUGGGCCAGCUCUUUCUGAAGUCCUUCAUUUGUAUGAAGGACGCUUUCACGAUGGGUCCUUUCCCGAGCCAAAGCAGACUUCAGGAUGGCGUUCUCCUUCCUCAAUGCCUCUUCUUCGGAUUCAGCCUCGAGGGACCUCGGACGCAGACGCCCGAAUACAGCAUUCGCAUAUGCAUAUUCAGUAUUGUUUGAUCAGUUUCAGAUGUAUAAGUAUGAAGAUAAAUACGGAAAUAAAAGAGAGAAUCAUUUACCUUCGCCAAGUAGCUCAUACCUUCGCUAAGUAAAUCCACGUUCGAACUAUUCCCAAAUCGAUGGUCAUCGGUCUCACGAACGAAGGCCUCGAACAGUUGAAAGGGGAAGUUGGCAUUAAAUCGGGGCCACAUGGUUAGAGAGGCCAUAACAUCAUGCUGAAAUUCAGUGGUCGUUUGUCAUGGAGGAGGGGGCAUAAAUUGAUUACGAACCGGCGAGGGAUCCGCAUGUACCGUUUCUGGAGAAAGAGAUCGGGCAGGAGUAGGUUCGGGGGUCGAAGAAGGAGCAGAGGUUGCACCCGGCUGGCUGUCUGAAGGUUGUUUUCUUUUUCGGGAUAAGAGGGGGACAGAUUCAACCAGCCCGGCAUCAGGUGUUUGGUUUUUGGUUGGGAUUGUCGGGGGAGUAACCGUCGAAGACGUUGGAAUUCGGAGUUCUUCGGCAGUGAGUGGAGUUAUCUUUGACCUUAGCUUCUUAACACGAAGAACUUUCGCCCUAUCGCAUAAAGGUAUGUCAAGCAAGCUCCUUUUAGUUGGAGUUGAUUCAGAAGGUGCAGUAACGGGGUCAGUUGGAGGGGUUGAUUGUGGGAUUGCUUCGGGAAGGAUCUCCUCGUCGCUUUCAGGAUCUAUAUCGCGAUGGAUAGUUCUGGCUUUUUUAGCAGCUUUCUUCCUUCGGCGAGGUCUGAGGGUUUCUUCGGGAAUGAGAGGCUCGUCAGCUUCAGGUUCAUCAUUCUGAAGGGAAAUGGUUGGUGGAUCGGAGGCGGGGGGGUCGGUUCGGGAAGACUCUUCGGUAGGAAGCUCUUCACUCGCCUCCGUAGUCUUCCCUGCUAGAAAGUCUCCCAAUUCUUUCACUUCCGAAGAAGUUGGUUUGAUCAGAGACACUGCAAAUAACCAUAUAUUAAAACCCAUGCCACUUAAAUACCUCAAAAAACUAUAUUACAGAGUUGUUCGAAACUUACAUUUGUGAUCAUACAGCCAGGCUUGUUUGGUCAGAAGUGUAAAACUCCAUUUUUUUGGAGGAAUCUUCUUCAGAAAGUCUCUCAUCUCCUUCACACGCUCUUCGGAAAUGUCUCCAAAAUCAGCCGAGAUCCGAUCUGAGAUAGUCCAAUCUGGAAGAGAAGAGAUCUCUGGUCCCGUGACAAAGAACCACUUCUCGUGUCAUCCCUUGUUGCUUGAAGGGGUACUCAUCAAGGACCUCUUCUCAAAUUUGGAGUUCGGGCGAGGAGAUUGUUUGCUCAGCAUCUUAAAGCCUCGUUCUCGGGAUCUACCGGCUGAGAAAAAGGUGAAGAAAAUGUCGACAGAGGGGGUAAUCCCUAACUCAUGGCAGAAGGCAAUGAAUGCCAAUAUAUGGAUGUAGGAAUUGGGCACCAGCUGAGCGAAACCCACUCCUAUGAACCCUAGGAGGGUAACAACAAAAGCGUGAAGGGGCAGACGAAUCCCCUUUUCGAGAAAGGUAGCCGGCAUGGCGACCCAACCAUCUGGCCGCUGGUACAUUCGCUCUUCAGGAGCAGGAGCCCUUAUAGCAUAAUUAUCUGGAAUCUGAUAACGAGUCCGGAGGGUACGUAUCUCAGAUUCCGUGAUAGUAGAUGGAAUGUUGGCAUGAGGAAACUGUUCCCCAUCCUUGAAGAAAUCAGCUGCAGAUUGGGGGUUUGAACUCGAACCCUCUUGGUUAGGGUUUGGGUUGGGGUAAACUGUGCUAGCGGGAGUCACACGAAGAGGAGAAGUCUGGCUAGAGCUCGCAGUCACCAUUGUUGAAAUUUCGUAAGACAGAGAAAAAAGUUCUGGGAAGGAGAAGAAAGCUCAAAAGUUCAAAUUGGCAGGUAAAACCGUCAAAAUUGAUAAAGUUUACCUUUUAUAUUGACGGUUACACAGUAAUCGAGGGCGGCACAUUUAAUUCACAGCAAUGAUGGUGAAUUGGAAGAGGUAUCGUACGGUUUUGGAUCUAAAUAUCUUGACCAGAGUGGACUUAUGUCUAUUGAACCUCCCAUUUCUGUCUCUGAUGUCGAUUUGGACCAAAUUAGUUGGGCUUUGGUAAGUUUCACUUUGAACCUCUUGUGACUUAUCAUAAUCCGUUAUAUCAUGGGCCUAUAUUGUUUAUAGUCUUCCAUUAAACCCCUUGUUUAAUAAAAGACUAGGGGGCAAUGUUGGGCUAUGAUCCUUUUUCUUAUUGGGCCAGACUUAAUGGGCUCCUCCCUUGGAUUAUGUUACUUUUGUCCUAUUGAUCCGAAUGAUUUGGGCCCAAUUACUUGAUCAUUUCGUUGGGUUGUCGCGGUUGGAUCCGGUCAUAUGGGUCAUUUCCUUUAUUUGGGCUUAGUCAUUGAAUUAGCCUAUUAUGUAAAUUGUCACUUAACCCAACUUUGACCGGUAAUCAUUACGCCAAAUAAUAGUUGACUGUUAUGUCUGCCACCUUUCUGCAUGGCAUUAAUGAGGAUGGGACUCAGAUAACCGGCGGUGGCAAAUAGUGGUAGCAGGUGAGGAAGUAGGCUAAUACUUUCGGCUGAAAUGACCGGGAGUGGAAAAAAGGUGUCAGGAGGUGAUGGGUGGCACGGUAAAUCGGGAUUGGAGUACGUAUGGGGCUAAGAUCACAACAAAAAGGGAGGUAAGUAACAAAUUAUAACAACACACGAUUAUAUUAUUAUUUUUCUCUCAGACAUUAGACAUUAUUUUCCCUCCAUUGUUGACCUUGUGAUCGCCGAUACUGACUCUCACGCCGGAGCUAUCCCCCGACGGUCCGGCCGUCAAGCUUUUGGUGUUGACUUGUUGAACUGUGCAGGAUAUCGGACGCGUCUUGGUGAUUAAGACGUGGAGAAAGAUUUUGGUGUUAACAAUUAUCAUCUUCUGUUGUGUUGUAUAAGCAUGCAUGCAAUUAUGUGUAUGACAUUUGAUUUUAAUUAUAUAUAUAUCGUGACAUGAUCGAGGACAACUUCUAAUGCCUGCUUACAAUUUAAAUCUGGAUUAAUUUGAUGAGGCACUCCUAAACAUCAUUAUCAACAGUAGUUGUUCAUGUUAAAAACAGAAGCAAUGAAAAAUUAAAAUAUUACCCAUACAUAGGAUCAAUUAUUUUCUUAUAAUAGAAUGUAAAUGGAGAAAUAUAUAUAUAUAUAUAUAUAGCACAAAUAUCACUCCCUAUAUAUAUACUAUUCCUUUUGUUUCAUAGAAGAAGAAAAAACUCAUUUUACUUUUGAACUUAAUUAAUUUGUUUCUCAAAUAACGUACGUUAAUAAAUUAACUUUAAAUUUUGAAAAAUAUAUUCACAUAAAUCAAUAUAUGGAUAUAUAUAGUAUUGAUCAUUAAUUAUAUGUAUAUAUACAUGUGAGUUGCAACUUGAAUGAUCAAAAGACAAUUUCUAUCUCACGUCAAUCUCUUUCUGUCUCUUUCGCUAAUGCUAUAAAUAUGACUAACUCACUUCCACACCUAAUUCCAAUAUCACUUAAUUCACUACAUAUCAUAUAUUACAUACAUUUAUACUUACCAAGAAUCUCUCUAUUCUUCUUCAUCAUCAUCAUCAUCAUCAUCAUCAUCAUCAUCAUGAUGGGGGAUGAUCAUAACAAUGUCGUCAACCUCCCACCUGGCUUUCGAUUCUGCCCCACCGACGAAGAGCUCGUCGUUCACUUCCUCCAACGCAAGUCCUCUCUCUUACCUUACCAUCCCAACACCAUCCCUGAUCUUCAUCUCUAUCCUCAUGAUCCUUGGGAUUUAGAUGGUUAGUAAAUUAAUUUCUCCGAUCCUACCUAUAUAUUUCAUUCUUCCUAUAUAUAUAUAUUCUUUAAUAAACUUUUUAAGUGGUUUUAUUCAGUCAUUAUGUACUUUCACAUAACAACAUAAUUAUUUAGUUGAUUACGUUUUUAUUUCUUUUUCUUAUUCUCCUUUUGAGUAUCGCCUUUUCACAUAACAAAAUAAUUAUCACAUUUACAUUUUUCAUUCAAGUGUGACAUUAUAUUGAUUCUUAAGUUAAUUAACAUAUAUAUAUAUAUAUAUAUAUAUAUAUAUAUAUAUAUAUAUAUAUAUAUAGGUAAAGCUAUGGCAGAAGGUAACAAAUGGUAUUUCUAUAGCCGGAGGACGCAAAACCAUAUUACAAGCAACGGAUAUUGGAAUCCAUUUGGUGGUGAUGAACCAAUUUUCAGCUCAAAUACUAGCAAAAGAGUUGGUACCAAGAAAUAUUAUAUGUUUUACAUGGGUGAACCUUCCCAAGGUAUCAAAACAAAUUGGAUAAUGGAAGAAUAUGGUCUUUCGGAUGGGGCCUCCAGCAGUAGAUCAUCAAAAGGAAGACAGUCCAAUAUAGUAAGUAUAUAUAUAUAUAUAUAUAUAUAUAUAUAUAUAUAUAUAUAUAUAUAUAUAUUAAAUUUGGUAUUAUAUAUGUUCAUACAUUUUUCAGGAUUAUAGCAAAUGGGUAGUGUGUAGAGUGUACGACCAGAAUUACGAGGAUGAUGAUGGAAGGGAGCUUUCAUGUUUGGAUGAAGUUUUCUUGUCGCUAGAGGAUGAUUUCGACGAUAUUAGCUUUCCAAAUUAGAUUCUCUAGCUAGCUUAUUAGCUAGGUUAAUUAAUUAAUUAAGAUCUAUAUAUAUAUAAUGGGGUUAAUACUAACAAAUUAAGGUAUUAACGUACGUACUCCCCAUGCCAUCAAUAUAUAUAUAUAUAUAUAUAUAUAUAUAUAUACCCAAGACGGUUGAGUCUCUUUGUUUUUUCUCCGUUUUCAAGUCUCUAAAUUUAUAGUCUUAUAUAUUUUUGUGGUGGACUAAUUCCUUGACAUAAUUAAGGCCGAGUCAUUUUUAUUAUUUUUAUCAACAGAAUGGCACCAAACCUUUAUUAGUUACUGUAUUAAAAUUCAAAUCACAAGUUUCUAAUAAAAAACGAAGAAUUGUAAUAAAAUUUAUAAUAUGAAACAAGUAAUUUAAUUACAAGCACAUACUACAUUGUUGACAAAAAAACUAUUUAACAAUUAAAUAUAUCUGGAGGACCAAAUUAUUGGGUAACUAAGCUUCAGUAACAUGGAAUAAUUAUUGGUACUGUUGCUUGAAAGUUUUGUACACUUGAAUGUACACUAUUAUUAUUUUUGUCCGGUAAAGUUUUGGUAUUAUUUUAUUUUUUUUGGGUAUAUAUUAAUUUGGGUUGAAUUACAUUUGUGUGACAAAGGUAAGGAACAUUUUCUUUCCUUAUCUUUUUCUCCAAUUAAUACUACUAAAUUUCAUUUUUUAUUUUUUUUAAUAAUGGGUGAUUGCUUAGGUAAGCAUUGAGUCAUAUGUGAUGCAUAUACACCACAGCUUUAACCUCUAUGUCAUGCCAAGUUAGCCAAAUUAUGCAACAACCUUUUGGUUGUGGAUAUUGUCAAAGCAAAUAUAAUGUUAUAAGAACAAGUACUCUAUAUCUAUCUAUAUUUAUAGAUCAAUUCUCUCUCUCUCUCUCUCUCUCUCUCUAUAUAUAUAUAUAUAUAUAAGUCUCUUAUGCAUGCAUGUGCUUUAAUUGUUUGUAUUUGGAGAAGUAGUAUAUGGGUGAGAUGAUUAUUAUGAGCUGAUUAAGCAAUGAAAUGGAAUAAUAUUAAUUACUCCUAAAAAUAUUCUCAGUCGGUUAUGUUUAUUUGUAAGUAUUAUAAUCUCGGACUAUAAUUAUAAUGUCAAGACUAUUAAGCUAUUUUAUAAUCUCGAGAGUAAUAGUCUCAAGUCUAAAUUUGAAAACAAUAAAGACACUUUCAAUUUCAAGUAUAAUUCUUACAGACAAACAUAGCCGCAGGGAGUUCUAGCAUUCAUAGAGUGAAUUAACAGGAUUUUGUGAAACUGUAGCCAAUUAAAUUGCUACACGAUAUACAUUCCUAAUGACUUUAUUUAAACCAAAUUUAUGUCCCUACUUCCUACUCAAUUCCUAAAUCCAUGACAAAAUCAUAAUUAAUAUGCAUGGUUUCUAACUUGCUAUCAUCAUUUCAGUCUAAUUUUAGUUUUGUAGGUUUAUGUAACUUUUUUUUUCAUUUUUAAAUUAUACUAAACUCGAGCAGAGGUAAAUAAAUUGAUACAGGGGGAGAAUGGGGUAAUAUUUUUUGACAGUGACACACACAUGGGACAAGAGAGGAGGAACUAACAGAAUCAUAGCACCAAAAUGUAGCUUUUUAGUCAAACUAAUAAUAAUGGUAUCCACAUCAAAAAGGUCAAAUGUAAAGCCCAAAUUAAGUCAACGCUACUCAUUGGGUUAAAAAAAUACUUACAAGCUUACGAAUGACAAAGAAUUGGAAAUGCAAGCUUAUAUACAUAGAAAGAUAAAAGAAAAUUUUAUUUGAAAUUAAGUUGAUAAAAGUAGUAACUUCAAUUAAUGAUAAUUUUUUGGGCGAGUCUAUGGUAGAUUAAGAUGAUUCAAGAAGAUACUAUUGAGUUAGUGAUUUAAAGCAUUGUUUGGAUAGAUUUGAUUCGAUUCAAUUCAGACUUGAAAUUUGACUCAAAAUUUAUUUCAAACUUGAGAUUUGACUCGAAUUCUUUUAUUGUUUAACUAAGGAUGAUUGAGAUUGCACAAGUUCUACGACAACCUCCUACUACUACUUUAAAGAUCUUCUUCAUAGAGAUAAUAAAGUAAAGGUUUCAAUCCUAAAUAUUGUUUGUAGUUUGGGCUUUACCCUCCUUUGCACCCAAAAAAAUACCACUUCUAUGGUUCGAUAUACCAACUGUCACAGGCGAUGACCUCGAGAAGCCGAGGCAGUGGUUGUGUGCCACCAGAAUCAGGAAUCCAUGUUAACCUUGUCAUAGAGUGGGAUGGUUGAGCUACUUUUAUCAAUUUUCUCAUUGCAAAAAUUCCUGAAAAAAGAUAGGUUGAAACAAAUCUCAAUCCUUGUUGUAGGAGAGAGCAUAUCCUCUAUACCCAUUUUCUCUAUCUUUCUUGUGUCCCCCCACUUAAAUUUUGACACCUAACCUUUUACUUAACACCAAUUAACUCUAAAAUUAAAUAAAAGAUCAGAUGUCAAAAUUUAAGUAUAGAAUUUAAGUGGAGAGACACAAGGGGACAUGAAAAAUGAGAAUAAAGAUCUGCUCUCGUUGUAGGGAAUCUGUGAUUUUAUUCUUUACCCCCUUCAAUGUUGUAAAAUAGUUUAAUUUAUUUCCCUCAUAUUUUGCUGUAGCAAUGGAACCAAGUUGAGUUGAGUUGGAAGGAUCCGAUUAUCUAAGAACAUUUCCUUGGCAGGUUUUUGCACGCAAGUAGCUUAAGAAAAAGAAAAAAAUAAUAUUUGUAGGAGACUUGCUAUUUAUGCUAUAAAUUUGUGUCAAAAUGUGUAUCAAUACUAGUUUCACUUAUUACUCGUCUCUCUAAAAGAAUCAUCAUUAAUAAAUAUAAACGUAUUGGCUCAAAAAAAUAAAAUCGACGUAGAUAUUGGCAACCUUGUUCCGACUCCUGCAUUUGCAUUUCCAAACAUUGAACAAGAAAAAAAAAAUCAGAAGAAAUCAAAGAGGCGAGUUUUAUCUAUGAUAAUAACAAUAGAUUAGCAAAUCAAUUUACCUGGAUAACAAUUGAAUAUGGAGGCGGCAUGUGGAGUUUGGGUUCCUGCCUUGACACUGUUAAUCGAACCUGCCAACAAACAGCAAGAAAUAAUCAACAUUUGCAAUGCAACCAUCAGUAUAAGAAUUAUAAGAAACGUCCAAAAGUGAAAUAAAAGAACAAACUCCAAAAAAUUAAAAUCAAAAAGCAUACAUGUACCCAGAUGUACUUGGUCAGUUAAUAACAGUGUUUUUCUUUAUAAACCUUAUACAAAUAAUCUUUCACUUUUUUCCUUGUGUCUGUGUGUGUGUUUUGAAUGAAAAAAUAAAUCAAAAACAUAAUAUAAUGAAUAAGACAUGAAAAUAAAUCCCAAGGUCUACGUUAAUACAAAGAUAUUUCAGUGACAUAAACUCUUACUACUGAAACAUCGGGCUGUACAUUAAGAUGCGAAAAAAUACUCUACCUGAUGUUUUUCCUUCCAUCUUGGGAAAAAGCUAGUCCCUAGCAAUUGGAACAAGUGAUCUCUCAUCUCAUCAUUUGUUAGAAGCAAAGACUUGCAACUAACAGCAGCAUAUAACCAGUACCUGGCAAUAAAAUGGAAACAUGUUCAUCAAAGAUAGACUGUAGAAAGAGGAUAGUAACAUUUUUUCCCUCGAUGUAAUUUUUGAAAUUGAAUAAAAACAACAAAUACUAUCAGCGAAACUCUAAAUAUAUUACAAUCUGAAACUAGAGUCACUAUUGGACCGCUUUUUGGGUUAAAUAAAUAGUGAAUUUUUCUUUGCAGCUUGACUUGAUGAUCAAAACUAGAUUUAAAUAAUCUAAGAGCAGGGACAGUCAAGAAAAUCAGUAACGUAGUUGGUCGCAUGGUUAACAAAGUGGGCUGCAAAUCAAAGUGCAACUGUUACUUAAAUUCUUUUAUAUAAUUAAUCCCAACACACAAAACAACAGAACAUCUAAUAGAUAGCCUGUAUCGCCAACUUCAACCAAGUUUUGGAGAUGCAUGUUGAGUGACAAUCAGGAAUUGUCGUCUUCAUGAAGAUGUAAUUUAGGUGACUUCUACUACCUCUGUUCUAAAAUAUAAGAUCACUUGCCUUUGUAUCUUAUAUUUUGGACAGAGGGAGUAUUAUUUAUUUGAGAAACUCUACUUGCUUGAACUUUAAGUUGGUUGUUGCUCUUGUUCACCCGGGCAACAAAUGUUGUGCCACCGUCUUCAACCUCUUCAUGAAGAUUUCCUUCAUCAUAUCAUUCUCUCUCCACUUUUUAUUUGAAUGUCAGAAGAUUAAGAAUGAACCAGUUGAAAAGGAAACAUUAAUGUGAAUAGAAGGUAGCAGAUAACACACUUUUAGCAACGAAACAUUACCAUUAUUAAUCUAUUCUUAAAAGCCACAAGUCCAAAGAAAUUCAGUUUAAAACUAGUAUUGUCUCUAUGGGGAAUAUUAAUAGAGACGCUUCCUUCCUUGCUUGAAGUAAAGACCGAGGAGAUCAUCAAUAAACUCCUCCAUGCAGAGUAAAUAAAUAACACAACAAAAUAAGUUAAACAAAUUACCUCCUUUUAUUGUCGCCUUAAGCAAUAUUUUCCAAAAUAUAAUGUUGUAUCCUUACUAGACUAAGUUAAUUUGCAUAAGAAGAGCACACUUCUAUAAAAAGAUAUCCAUAUUGUUCCUUUCAAAAUGAAAGAAAGGUCUCUCUUUAAAAUGUUUAACGCAAAUAUCCAAUAAGGGGCCUGCUUUUAAAGUUUUCAAGAAAAGAAAGCAUACCAAUCAUCAUUCGAAUCAGGUGGAGUAGCAUAAAGAGCACCAGACUUUUUCCAAUUAUCCAACAACUCCUUAUUUUUAGGAUUCUGAGCAGGACCACCAGUUACGCGGCUUCUGUGCAACACCACAAGUGGUAAUUUCUUUGACGGGCUCAUAUUACGUAGUUGAUUAACAACAUAAUUGAGCUACAACAAAAGAGGACCCAUUAGAAGCUCUACCUAUGCAUAUGUAUAUAUGUGUAAAAACUCGAGAAUAAUUUUCAGGAAGACUAUUUCUUAUUUCUUAUUCCUCUUUCUGAUAUCCAACCAAAACAAAAUAUCCUCGUUACCUGGAAAAAGCUAAACUCGUGUUGAUUGGUAAGACCCACAUUUGCACCAUCUACCACUGCAUCAAAUGGACCAUGCCGUUGAAGCCAGUCCUGAAUGAGUGCACCUUUAAAAUUAGUCAGGAUGUCAAUGAAGAUCGCUUUAUGUACAUAAAGCCUGAAGCAUAGAAAAGUAGCAUAUAUCGUUAUAAGCAGCAGCACGGCUUCUAAUAAAAUUCUUCUUUUAUUUAAAAAAAGAAAAAUAAAGUAGCACCUGGAUAUCCAAAUGCUCAAGAAAAUUGAGGAUAACACAAAUUGUCCAAAGCAGCUACCAAGGCUUGUAGCAUACAGCUAGACUAUUAAGUGCCAUUGAUGUAGGAUGGGGUUGGAAGAAGUAAUAAGGUACCUAUCUCCGCCGAGAAUCGGUAAAGAAACACACAUAAAAGCACACAACUUUAAUCACAAAUCAAUUCAUUCAAUAAUCUCUCAAAUAAUGAAGUAUUACAAUGCUUAAAUAGAAAACUCAAUACUUUGGGACGAAGUAAAAAUUCCUAAUUCAAAAAGGAAACAAUCUCCCAACUAAAAUCUACUACUACAAUAAAACUCUCCUAAUUAAAAUCUCCUACCAUAAUUAAAAAUCUCCUAAUUAAAAUCUACUACCAUAAUUAAAACUUCUAGAAUAUCCUACUAAAAUAAUUACAUUAAUAAUCUAACAUUUAUCUCUAAAUAACAAUACAAAAUUAAUAAUAAACUUCUUGAAUUUCUUCUUCCGUAUAGCAUCAUUUUCCUCGCUUCUGAAAAAAACUCGUCCUCGAGUUUUGAAAUAUCAAAGAAUAAUAAAUAAUAGUCCGGGAGAUGCAUGCCAACAAAACAUGCGCAUCUGAUAUUUUUUAAACACAAAUUUCGAGAAUAGCGUUGACACAAGCAAAAAAUUAGAUGGACUCGAAUAUGGAAUUUGGCAUAAGAAAGUCAACAUGUUCUCUCUGUUCUAAAAAUCGGCCUAGGCGGCGCCUAGGCGCUAGGCGGGGGCCUGGCGACAGGCCUAAGGCCAAAUCGGUGAAAAAGACGGCCUAGGCGGGUUAGGCGGAAAAGGCGGGGCCUAGGCGGAUUUUUUUUUUUUUUUUUAAAUUACUACCAAAACCAAAUUUUGAUAUAUUUAUUUUUUUAAUAAUUUACCAUAUUCUUAAUGCAAGUUGUAACAUAUCAAAUCACAACAAGAAAUGAACAAGAUCACGUCAAAAUGGAUAAUUUUAUUAUAGUUGUAAUCUUUUGAACUUGUACCAACUUGAAAUUCUAUAAAUGAUGAUACAUUUGUAAUAUUUAAUUUAAUUCAAUAUAAUUCUUAAAUUUAUGUUUAGUUUAAUUUCUUAAGUUUUAAUAUUGAAUUGAAUUUUUAAAAUUUAAAAUUUUAUUAUUUAAUACCAAUUUUGUUUAUGAAUAAAACUAAUGCGUCAAAGAUAUGUUAGUCAUACUUAGUAUAUGGUAUUUGUCAUUUUCUUUAAGUCCUCAAUUUUGAAAAUUACACAAAUUAAAAUAAUUUCAUAAUUAAUAGUAUCAAAUGUCUCAUUCAAUAAACUUCACACUAAUUUUUAAAAAUAACAUUUAUUUAAAUUUUUGAGAGAGAAGAAGUACGUAUAUAAUUAUAUAUAUGAAGAUAUCAAGAUACUUCUUACUAGUUACUACUUACUAGUAACAUUAAUUCUAUAAUUUAAUUAUUUCAAGCAAUGGAUAUAUAUCUUACUACUUAAGUGCAAUUACUAUUAUUUCUAUAAUUUAAUUAUUAUCUUUAUUAUAGAUUAUUUUGUUUUAUAUUAUUAUUUUUUUAGAUUAAUGUAAGAUAAAAUAUUAAAAUUGUCUUAAAAUAAAAAAUCUCGCCUAGGUCCUCCAGGCGCUAGGCCCCCCUGGUUGCCCGCCUCCCGCCUAUCGCCUUUUAGAACAUUGCAUGUUCUACCUCAAUUGCGUCUUUCUUUUUUUGUUCAACUUCUUGGUCAACAUGGUUCACCUCUUUCAUUGCAUUUUCUUUAAUGCAAACCUCCUUGGAAUCUUCAAUGGAUACAACAUUCUCAAUUUCAACCACUUUAAGAUUCUCACGAGUCUCGACGUGUCGAAAUUCUUGUUCUUGAAGAAUUUCACUGUCUCCUUGUAUUUAACUUAUGAUCUGGCAUCACACUUUUAACCUUUGUGUUGAUUCCUUGACCACAUGUUGGAAUUGCAACAAUGAAUUUUGAAAUAUUUGCCUGAUUUGCAACAAGUGCUACAAUAGAUUCUUCUACUCUUCUAAUACAACUCAAUUAUAAGUCACCAUAACUAAUAUAGUAUAUCUAUUUUCUCUUGCCUUACCAACACUUUUUUUUGGCUCUAGGGGUUUAGGGGUGCAGAAACUAUAAAGAAACAGGGACCGAUUUGAACUUUUUUGAAACUUCAGGGGCUCUCUUGUGAUUGAUACUAGGAGUUGUACAAAUGUUAUCUCUGAGGAAAUAGUUAAGAAAUUUGGAUUAAAAAUUGAGCCUCACUCGGAACCGUAUGAUAUUGCAUGGAUUACCAAUACAAAGUUACCCAGAAGUGUUUGGUUACAUUUUCCGUUGGCAAGUUUAAGGAUACCGUAUGUAAUGUUCUACCCCUUAAGGUUUGUAACAUUAUUUUAGGGCGUACAUGGCUAUGGGAUCGUCAUGCGCAAAAUGAUGCUCGUGCUAAUAUUUAUUCGAUUAUCAAAGACAGUACCAAGUUCACUCUUACUUAUGCAAUCGGCAUGCCAAAUUUCAAGCUUGCAAAGAAUUCUUUAGCGAUCCGAAGUGCUUAUCCUUGUGUUGAUAUUUUUAACUCGACAGGGUCGAGUUUUUCUCAGCAGAGGAGAACUGAUGACCAUCUAGGCAUACGAUUUCUUACCUAACUUUAAUUUUUUUUAUACUUUGUAUAACUACGUAUUCCAUUCCUAAGUUAUAACUUUUUGCACAGUAUCCUAGAGAGGGGUUUAUAAGGUGAGUGAUUAUCCCGUACAUAUAAAUUACAGAUUUUAAGCUAUUAGAUAAAUCCUAUCAAGAAAUGCAUAUCUUGCACCAUUUCAUUGUUCAAAGACAUGCAUAUAUUGUAACUGCCAUCCAACUAUAAGCUAAAUCCAAUCUAGAAAUGCAUACCUUGCAACCCUUCUUCUAUAAGUUGAGUAGAUUACUUAUAAAUAUCGUCAGGUUUAUCCAGAAAUCCUAAUAUGUUCAUUGACAGACAAGAUGUGGAUCUAGCUUAAAAUUUGUAAUAGACAUACACAGGAUGCAACAAGACUCUUGUUUUAUCAACGGUCAUCAGAGCGUUGCAUCCACCCAUGUCAUAUCAAGAUUUUAUAUCCAUUCGUUGGCAACAGCUGGUGAAGCAGUAUUGAUGCAGGACAAAAUAUUUCACUAAUAAAAAUUCUUUUUUUUAAUGUUUUUUAUUUUAUAAGUUCCUACUGUAUAACUUCAUAUUGGAUGUUUGAAAUAUAUCAAUAUGAUGACAAGUGCCAAACAGGUGUCGUAAUGCAAUCCUUCGAUAAACCCUAGUGUAAACCAAAUCAUGAAAUAUAUCAUAUGUUAAUUUUGGUGAUUACAUCAUGACUAAUUCUUCAUUCGAAUAGAACCAACAUAAUCAACUAGGAUUUAAGAACUUGGAAACUUGGAACCCUAGUAACUAGGAAUUCUAAUCCAUUUCAUAAGUAAAUAGUACACAUACACAUGUAUCUAAAAACUCCAAGUAAAUCUCAAAUAAGUUAAUAACUUUUAAGAAGUCGGUCAUACCCGAAACUGCAGAAAAUCAGUCUUCACCUUUCUUUCACAAGCCAACGUAGUUAAAGAAUUGGCAAAAUUUUCUCUCUCUCUAGGAUCAAUGUCAAUACAGACAAGCUUCUCCCCGCACAAAUGGCACACACCACUCUCGUCCAUCUCGGUCCUCCCCACUGUCCAUUUCCCACUUCCUAACCAUCCUUGCCCGUGCCACCCACCUCCUCCCUUCACAACCCCCUCCUUUACUUUCCUCAUAUCCCAGUUCUCACCAACUUUUGCAGCACUCUCUGACCCAAACCAAUCCUCCACAACCGCGGCACUCUCUUCCGACACCUGCCUUGCUGUUACCCUCAACCUAUGCAACAUUUCAUAGACUCUAUCCACCCUUUUCACAUCAAAACUAACCUUCAAAAGAGCCCGAAUCUCGUCUUCCUCAGCCAAAACCCCAGAUUCAACCAUAUGCUCAUCAACCUCAUAUGCCUUAUCUGCCAUCCCCUUCUUACAGAACCCAAACAAUGCCGGCCCAUAAGACCUCAAUUUGGGCAAAAGACCACAACUUUUCAUUUGUUUCACCAAAUCAAAAGCCAUUUCUGGGUCUUCCUUAGCAGCAGCCAAUCUCGCCGCACUUGUAAAAGUAGCCUCAUUUGGAACAACUUUAUCUAUACCCAUUUGCUUAUAUAUUUCAAAACCCCUCUUUAAACCCAAAUCCAUAGCACCCUCUAAUUCUAACGAACACAAAUAUAGCAAAACAUUAUAAUGGUGAACAGUAAGUGGAAUGUUAUUUACCCUUGCAUCGUCGUAAAGGCGAAUUGCUUCUGCAAGAUUAUUAUCUUUAGAGCACAAUCCCAGCCGGUGGUGAAGCAAUCCUUGUGGGGAUUCCCGGAUUGCUUUUUUCUUGGAUUUGUUGGAAAUCGAAGGGUUUGCAGAAGAGGGUUUACGGGUAAGAGCUGAGGCUGUGCAGAAAUGGGCGAAUUUGUUCAUGGAGAAUCGGGUGGAUUUUACUGUGAUGACAUUAAAUGGGUUUGAAGAAUGAUAGAAAUGGAGAAAAGGAGGGGGUGAAUGGGAUUUGCAGGGAAGAAAAAGUGAUGGGAUUUUGGUGAGGAGGGAGAAAAGGGGUGAGGGUCUGGUGAGAGGAGGAGAAAGAGAGCCCGCACGCAACAGCAUCACCGCUGGUUGUUUGAUUUCCAAAGACAAUACGUUGUACGUCUCACAGUCUCACAGUCUCACAGUCUCACAGUCACACAGUCACUGUUUCAGUUAUACUCCCUCACUCGCCCAAAACACAAAUAAAAGAAAUUAGGAAGAAAAAAAAGAAAAUGAUUUAUGCCUUCAUGAUGAAAUUGGAUUAGGAACUUACAUGAAUUAUAAGUCUCUAAACAAAUAAUAUAAAAUACGAUAUGCCAUAAAUUUAUGUUAAAUUAUAAUUACGUAAAAUUUAAAUUGAAUUACAAUUACAAAAAUUUUAGUCUGACUAUAUAUUGCAAUAAAUUUACGUUGAAUUAUAAUUACAAAAUUUAUCAAUACAUAUAAUUAAUAGAAAUUAUAGCAGGGCUCCAGUUAUUACACAUAUUUUUAAAAAUAUUAUCAUUAUUAUUUAUUCACGUACCUGACAAUUAAAAUUCAACUUAAAACAUUCGCAAUAUAUAUAACCUUAUUUUUUACAUAAAAGAUAAAUAAAACUUAGAGGUGCAAAAAUAAAGGCCAAGUGGAGAGUAUGUUUUUUGUACCAAUACGGGCUUAUCUUGAUGGUUGGGUAUGCACAAAAAGCCCGUCGGCCUGAAGUCUAGGCUGGAUCGGUCUGAGCCUGACCUAAAAGAGCUUGGCCUGGUCAAGGCGCCGGACUUUAAGCUGCUAAAAGACCUUUAUUUUUGGCAUAAUGUCUGGCCUAGCCCAACCCAACUUAAAAAGGGUUAAUAGCCCAACUUAAAUAGCCCGUUCGGUCAAACCUGAAGCCUAGACCAGCCUGGCCUAGUGAAUGCUGGCCUGACCGACGUCACCGACCUAGCCUGGCAGCCUUGGUUAACAGCAGCCUUAACAUCAAUGGCCUAAAAGUAUUAUAACUAGAACUGACAAAUAGGCGGGCGGACCCGGACCGGGCCGGACCAAGCCGAGCGCGAACAUGUCAAAAAUAGAUUGGGCUAAAAAUGACCCGAGUUUUUGGCGGGCUGAGAAAGUGAGGCCUGUGGCCCGGGUUGGUCGGGUCGGGCCGGCCCGCGGGCUUUUUUUUUUNNNNNNNNNNNNNNNNNNNNNNNNNNNNNNNNNNNNNNNNNNNNNNNNNNNNNNNNNNNNNNNNNNNNNNNNNNNNNNNNNNNNNNNNNNNNNNNNNNNNUUUAAAAAUAAUAAAUACUGUAAUUAAUACUAAUAUAUAGAUAAUUUUAAAUUUUUAUAAUUAUAUUAUCUAACUUAAACUAAUAAUUGUUAGUUUAAUAGUUUUUUACUUUGAAAUUAUUAACUACAUAUCUCAAUCAAUUAAAAUUUUAAUAGUAUUAUAAAUUAGUAUUAUUAAUUAAUUACCUACAUUAACUACAUAUCUUAAUUAUAAUUUUCAAAUAUAGUUAAAAUUUAUUGAAGAUUGCAUUAAAAACAAAUAAUUGUUGUAGCUUAGUUGGUUUGAACUCUUAUUUAUUUACUUACAAGUCUUGUGUUCAAGCCCUACAAGUAGCAAAAUUUUACUUUUUUAAAAAAAAAAAAAACUCACGGGUCACGUGCCGGGCCGGGCCGCCCACAGGCCGGGCCAAAAACGCCCAAGUUUCCAUGGGCUAAAAAAAUUAAGCCCAAAGCCCAAUUUUUACGGGUCAGCCCGGCCCGCAGGCCUGGCCCAAUUUUACCAGGUCUAAUUAUAGCUAAAAUUUAAAAAGAAAAAAAAUAAAAAUUUCAGUGUAAGCAAAUUACCUACAUAAAAAACUCAUUACAGACAUAAUAAUUGGACAUAAAUAUUUUAUAAUUUUAUCUAUUUAUAUUUUUAUCCUAGUUUUACCUACACUAGUCACACAUAGAUCGACCCUUGCUUGAAUGUAUUUUUGAAUAUAUACUAUAAUUUAAGCGUGCACAUAAAUAUAUCCAUUACUUACAUGACAUGCAUGGGCAUUUAUUGAAAUGAGUGAGCUAGCUAUCAUAUGUACUAUUCCUUCUUUUUUUAAUAUAAGUUGUUUUAGAUUUGUGCAUAAAUAUUAAGAAAAUACUUGUAUAACAUUAAAUAUAAUAUUAAUUAUCUAUAUUACCUUUAUAUAAAAAAAAGAUAUUGUUAUUUAUUGAGUAAAAAAUAAUGAGAAAACUAAAGUUAUAUUUAUUAUUUAGAAUAAUAUUAAAUAAUUUAUAUUAAAAAAUAAAAAUAAUUUUCUAAAAUGAGUUAUAUUAAGUAACGUAAAGAGUAAUACGUAGCUAGGAACAACUAAUGUGCAAGUUUGGUUUAAUAAGUUGCAAAGGUCUCUGGUGAUAAGGCAACAAAAAAGGUACAUAAAUCGAGUAUCCCAAGUGAACUGCAUCAUCUUUCUCGUGAAUAUUGGCUGUGUCUAUGUCGUUCACCCAUCUUACUUUCUGUGGGCUGUGUCUAUGUCGUUCACCCAUCUUUUAUAUAUAUAUAUAUAUAUAUAUAUAUAUAUANNNNNNNNNNNNNNNNNNNNNNNNNNNNNNNNNNNNNNNNNNNNNNNNNNNNNNNNNNNNNNNNNNNNNNNNNNNNNNNNNNNNNNNNNNNNNNNNNNNNUUAGCCAAUGGUUCUAUCAAUUCAACGUACUCUUGGUCCGCAUGAAAGUCUACUGUAGUUUUCUGUGGCACGGGGGCCUUUCUCAAUUUCUUAUGAAUUACUAUUGUGUUAUAAUUUAAGAACGAAUAAUAUUGUAAUUACACACAUAUUAUAUAAAACACGAAAAAAUAAAAAUACGUGAUAUACCUAGUUUUACCAAUUUGAUUAAUCUUAUUUAUCUGAUGUAUUCAUUAAAUGUUUUACCCACUCUAUAAUAAUUCACGCACCAAACAAUAUUUUUAUAGUAACUAUAAAACCUUAGUCGCUAUAAAACUUAAGAUCGGGCUACUAAUAAAUCUCCAAGCCCAAUUGCACAUUUGCAACCCCCGCCAACUGACCGACUACCCUGUCGUAGUGGUCAUUCGUCGAACUUACAAAAGUAUAAGUCGAUCCUAACAUAUGAUAUUAAUUAAUUCAUAUACUUAUUUUUUCCCAAAACGAAUUUAAUUUAUUAAUGAUUAUUUUAAUAUUGAAUUUAAUUUGUUAAUGAUUAUUUUAACAUUUCACCAGUAUAACAAAUAAAUUUUCGUAGUACUGUGUUAUUUGUCGCAACCAACUAACUUUCAUUUUACAUUUUUUACCGUAUGUUUACGUAAUUAACUCUCAUUUUACAUUAUUUUUACGAUAUAUUUACGUAUUUAACAUUAUUUAUAGUAUCUUUACGUAAUUGCGUCUUCUUUUUACAUUAUUUACUGUAUGUUUACAUAAAUAAUUGUGUAUCAACGUCAACAAGCUAAGAAAUACCAUUCUACAAUAUAUAUUCUCUUUUGGACAUCAAUUAAAACGUCCACAAACACGCCUAAUAGUCCCCAGUGAACCUGUCUUGACAUCAAUGCUGCCCAUUUUCAGCAUGGAAUUAACAAAAUCCACCUCGAACGACGGUCCAAAAACCGGGCUAAGUAUGCCAAAAUACGAGUCAAUUACACUCCUCGUCGAAACAUCAUCGUAUAGCCUUGCAUCAGAUUGUAGCACUGCAAAACCAGACCUAAUGUUCUGCAAAAUUUGGUUGUCGAAUGUCUGGCCACUGCCUCGGUCUAUCGGUAACCGGACAUUCACGUCUCCAUUCUGCGGGCAGGUAGCUUUUAGCUCCGGCACCAAAUUGGGGUUUAUAGCCGGAUCAGUGCCUCCAUUAGGAAAAAAGUUGUACAGCCUUCGUGACAUGAAGAAGCAUGCUGUGGUGCCAAUUGUAUGUGCAGCUGAAAAAUUGAGUAAGUAAACUUUUAAAGUUUUUCCAAAUAUGAAAAGAACAAAUUUCAUUCAUUUAUCGUAAAAAAUUAUGAAAAGAAAUGGAAAAUAUAUAUAAUAUUCACACUUAAAUAAAAAAAUGUGAUUCUGUUAUGCCUUCUAAAUUGAAUGAUCCAAACUAUGAUUUAUAAUCGGCAUGAGUUGGUGAACCACAUUUUACAUGCUGUGCAUUAUAGAGCUAGGUAGAUUUGGCUGUAACUAAUUCUUGGUAAAAUAAAAAUUAAAAAUGCCACUUGCUUCUCAAAAUUCAAUAUAACUGAAUUCUAUCAAAUAAUUUACUACUCCCUCCGUUCCUAAAAGAUUGUCAUUUUAGGAAGUAAUUUUUGUUCCAAAAAGAUUGUCGUUUUAAGUUUAUCAAUACACAUUAGCUAUUUUUUUCCUACUUUACCCUUAUUUAAAACUUUCUUCUAUUUAAAUUUUAUUCCCUUCCCAAUGAUUCUUAUUCAAUUUAAUGCUAUAAUCCAAGUAGUAAUUGGUUGAAUAAGAAGUUAAUUGGUUGAAUUGAAUAAGAAACAUUGGGAGGAGAAUAAUUGGUUGAGACAAUUAAUAAGGGUAGUAUAGUAUUUUCGCUAGGUAUUAAUUAUAUUUCUUAAUCUGUGUAAACGACAAUCUUUUAGGAACAGAGGGAGUAUUUAAUACUAAUACCUACUAAAAAUUAUGGCCAUCUUUUGGGAAUAUAUAUCUUCUUCUUUUUCCAAAAACAGAAACUUUCUGGAAAAUGAAAAGCCAAUAUUAGAAUAUUUCUUCUUCUUCUUCUUUCUUCUUUCUUUGUUGACCCCUACAAAUAUUUAUUUAUGUCAUUAUCAUGUUGAAUUAAUGCUAUGCAAAUUAAUUAAAGCUUCUUCAUACCCCUUUAAAUGUCUACCAACUACUAGGCCACCACACCUGCAUGUACGUACAAUAUAGUGUGUGUGUGUGUGUGUGUUAUAUAGGGAUGUCUGUCUGUAUGUACCGCUAAGAAGCACAAGGUCUUUAUCGGAGAGGCCUUUGCUGAAAAACUUAGUCUUAAGUUGCUGAACUGAAUCUGUAACGUCCGGCAUAUCAUCCGCCAAAGAAAUAUUAGAAACCAUUCCAUCUCUUCUACCCGUUUGUACCUCGUAAUUCGGACCAUUCGCCUGUUCAUGGGAGUAAUUUUUACCAUAUAUCAUCAUCAAACACAACUUAAAAUAAUUCAACUUAUUAAUUACAAGAUGUGCAUUUCCACAAAUUCAAGAAUAUUACGUCAUUUUAUAUUACUAUGUAUAACAGCAGUAGUUUGGAUUGGAGUAAUGAAAAUGAGAAUGAAAUGAAAUAAAAAGAAUUGUAUUUGGUUCCGAACCUACGGAAUAACUCAUUCCAAUUAAAAUGGAAUAAAUAACUCUUCAUUUCAUUUCUUCGAUCCAAACUUUGCAUGCAUUUAUUAAAUGACAAGACUAUAUAUCAAGAAAAUUAAAGCUACGUACGUACCACGGCGAUGGCAUCUCUAGCAGCUAUGGCAACAAUAUCGGCACAAGAAACAACACCGGGGCAAACGGCUUCCAACUGAGCCUUUGCAUUCUCUAUCACUUCAAACCCUCCGACACCUUGAUGACCAAAUGCAUGCCUCUCCGAACUCGGACCAUUCUCAAUUAGUAUUGAUCCAUCACAUCCCUACUCAUCAACUCAAUUCAAAUCACCAAGCCACAAUCAAUAUAAUUAAUUAUAAUUAUACCUACCUACCUCAAUAUAUAUAUAUAUAUAUAUAUAUAAUUACACGUACGUACGUACUUCUUAAAAUUUGUGUCAAGAUAUAUACAGUUAGAUCAUUUGACACUGUUGGACAGGGGAAGAAUUGAUUAAAUUUGGGAGGUUGAGAGAUAAAUAAAUUAAUUAUAAUUACCUGAACAAAACAGUCAUGAAAGUGAAGUCUAAGCAAGACUGGAGCAAUAUUCGGGUUGGACUGAGCAGCAUCCCGAACAAAACCGCCAACAAUUGAUUCAGCAUUUGGGCAGCUAUCUGUAUAAAAACCAGCCCUGAGUUGGCCUUGUGAAAACCCAAGAAAAAAACAACUAAUUAUUAUACUAGAAACCCAAACCAGUACCAUUUGUAUGUGUAACUAACUAAUUAUAACUUAAUAUAAUAAUUAAGUUACAAUUAAUAAAUCUAAAAAAAACAAAAUAAAUAAGAAGAAGAAGAAGAAGGGGAAGAAUUAGUGUGUGUGGAAAAUGGAGUUGGAAAUUUUGGUAGGUGUGUUUGUGUGUGUAUAUAUAUAUACAUAUAUAUAUAUAUAUAUAUUUAUAUAUAUAUAGAGAGAGAGAGAGAGGUGAAGGGAGGGUGGAGGUUUUUGUUUGUAAAGUUGUAAGGUGGUGCCAGCAAUUAAGAGAGAGAUGGCAAUGUGUCAACUAAGUUGCAUGUGGUGGUUUUGUUAUCUUCCUACUUUAAUAUUUCAAAUGGUGGGAUACAGUUUUUACUGCCACAAAUAUUAAUAAAGAUAAUAAUAAUAAUAAUAUUAAUAAAAAUAUUAUGUUCAUUUAUAGCUAAUAGCUGUACUCUCAACCUCUUUUUGGCUAAAACUCUCCCUCAACUUGUUCGAUUUGUUCUUAUCAUCAUAGUUUUAUUUAUUUUUUAAAAGAUUAUAAAAAUAGAGAAAGUCGAUAUAUCUGUCAGCAAUUUUGAUAUGCAAAAUAGUUUAUUUACCUAUAUAUAUAUAUAUAUAGAAUUAUUUUUUUUGCAAAAUAAGGGUUUUGUGUUCUAUUGUGCAGUACAAGUGUUAACUAUUUUUGGCCAAUUGAGCUCCUUCAAAUCUUAUAAAAUAUUACUUAUUUUGUUAAUUUCAAAAUUAGAGAUAUUUUUUUUAAUUGUUCUAAAAUUAAAAUUACAUUUUUAUUUUUAAGCGUUAAUAUGAUAUGAAAUACUUAACAUACCUUUAUUUAUAUUUUAGGUGAAUUAAAUGUUAUUAUGUCAUAUACUUUCAUUUAAUGUUAAGGAUAUAUUGAAAUUAAUUUUUUUAUACAAAUUAUUAUUUUAAAAAUAUAUCUCUAAUUUGAAAAUAGAUGAAAGUAUUUCUUGAAAAUGAUAAUAAUAUUAUAUAAGUAAUAUAUUCAUGACAAAUAUUAAUUGCAAUAACAUGAUCACUAAUAAAAGUGACUACGUAAACAAUUUUAAUUUUUAUAUAUAUAUUUAUCUGAAGUACAAACCUCAACAAUUUUUUGGGAUAAAAAGGGGGCCACUCGCACAAAAAAUGUUGAUAUUAGGUGCAUGUUAGGUGAGUUUAUUUUUAUUUUUAUGAAAGUUUAUUUUAUUUUUUUUAUGUGAGACUUGUUUGUGAAUUUGUUUCUUUUUUCUUAGUCAAUACGCCUCGAUAUUGACAAUCAUGCAACCUUUAUGCAGCUGAUAAACGAUGUUCUUAGGCCACAGUUUACUACGACGAUGACAUCUGGUUUAUAACAAGAUAUAAGAGAAGCAUCUGAAACAUGUAGAGAUUGUUCCAGAAAGUCUGCGUGAGCGCCCCUGAUAAUUGCGUUGCCUUCGGGCUUUAUCUGCUCUUUAUAAUAAGAAUUCCGACUUGGUCCGAGAAAGCGCUGAUAUUUAUAUACUAUUAUUGAUUUUUUCUAAGUAUUAAUAUAUAAAUCUUAGAAAAAAAAUUGUAUAAUACAAAAAAGUAUAAAUCUUAUAAAAUUUAACCCCCUGUAUCCCAUUGUAAACCUCAUAAUUUUUUUUCUUGUAUUGUGCCAAAAAAAUAUAUUUUAUUCAAUAAUUGUUAAUACUUUUAUUAAAAUUUCCCAACAAUACUCUCAAAUUAGUCGUAAAACUAAGCAAAUUGAGAUAUAGUUUUUCUAUGUUAUUUUUCCCAGUUGACUUUUUUGUGCACAAGAGGGAUAAAAAAUUUAUUGAAAAAGUAGAUGACUCAAUUUAAAAAUUGUCAAAGUUUUCUUACUAAAUUAUAAUUUGCGAAAGACAUAGGAUCCCCUAGCUAAUAAUGAGUAAAGAAUAAUUUAUACACAUAUAAAUACUUAAUUAAUAAUUAACAUAAAUAGUCUAAAUAUUUAUAUGUUUAUAUUAGUUAUUAAUUAUUAGCUAAUAAAGAGGGAUAAGAAUAAUUUAUUAAUAUUUAUAUGUUUAAAUAAAUUAACAUAAAUAAUUUGGUGAUAAGUUUUCUUUAUUAGCUAAUAAUACUUAAUUAAUAAUUAAUAUAAAUAGUCUAAAUAUUUAUAUGUUUUUAACAAUAAAUUUGAUCAGCUUUAUAAUGAGUCGAAUGACCUAUUAACCAAACUCGACUCAAAUUUCAUUUUGGACUUGGAUUUUUGUCCAAACUUAGCUCGGCUCACCCCUAAAUUAAAUUCAAGUUAGUUUUUAACAAGACGAAGGCUUUAGAUUUGAUUGUCCUUGUGACAAUCCAAGUUUUUGACAAAUAUCAAAAUAAGGAUUUAAAUAAAUAAAAUGUGUGAAUUGUACUUCAUAAAUUAAUAAAUGUUGUGCAAUGUGGUAAUUUGUAGAAUAAUAAAAAGAUUUUAUUAUAUGUUUAUUGAAAACAAUUAGUGGAAAGAAGAAAGGAAAUGAGCAAAUAUAUUAUAUAUAUUUGUUUUGAUUGAAAAAUAAACUGGGGAGUAACAGUUUAUUUGGAUAUAUUUUUAUAUGUCUAUUAUUUGAAAUAAAUUGUGGGGAAAAACAAUUUAUAAUGAAAAUAAUAUAAUUUAUUGCGUAUUAAAAUAAUUUAUAGAAAAGAAAUAUGGAUUGAUUUGUUCCAUCAUAAGAAUUUAUUUUAAUUAUGAAAUUUAAUUUCAUAAUUAGUGAAGAAAAUUUUUAUACAUAUUAUAAAUAUAUAAUUAUCCAAUUUUAAUUAAUAAUUGGAUUUUAGGUGAAUAAAAUACUUAAAUUAGUUGAUAUGUGUAUGCUAGAAUUAGCUAAUAUAGAGUACACUAUCAGCCCCAAAACAAACUAUUCUCAGCCUUCUCUUCCUUGGAAGUUGGACCAUUUCGUUCUAAAAAAGAAUAGAGGAACAUCCUGCCUCUUCCAUUUCGUCCCAAAGGAAGAAAGAAAAUAGAUCAGCCCUAACCCAUUCCUUAAAUCCAUUUCGUUCCAAAAAGAAGGUUGAGAAAAGCAGGCUUCGCUCCUUUACUAUGCCAUGCCUUCCAUCCGAACCAAAGAAGAAAAAGAAAUACAAAACCAAUCUUCAUUCUCAAAUUAGUAGUAUGUCAAGGGAAUUAGAGGAAAUGAAAAUUUGCGUCUGAACUGGGGGAAAAGUUAGAGCUACUAGUGGCAAGAAGAAGUGGUAUUCACUCAUCAUCAAGCUUAAGAUCGUAUCAAUCAAGAGGUAACAUUUUAUCUCUGUUAUAUGAUUUGUGCUUAUCAAGUUAGUUAAUAGUAAAGAAAGUUAGUAACUUGAAUGGGUUAAAUUGGUUUUAGUUAUGUAGUCAAGGGCGGAGCCAGGAAUUAAUUUUCUACUGGGCUACCAAGUACCAAUUAUAUCUACAAAAAAUUGUCCCACCAUCAAUCACAAAUUCAAAAUCAUACAUAAUAGUAAGGUUCAAAGUAGUAAGGUUCAAAGGUAAAUAACAUGCAAGAAAAAAGGAAAACAAAACACACUAUUUAAGCUGCAUCCUUCUAUGCUUUGUAGAAUAGAAUUCGUCUAUUAUGGAAUCUGAAUCGAUAUCUUCAAGAAGCUCUCGUUCAAUGUAAAUCAUCAUAGAAUCUGCUAAAAACUCCUCUUCCAUUUUAUUGCGAAGAGCAGUUUUAACAUGUUUCAUUGCUGAAAAUGCUCGUUCUGUCGUGGCUGUGGAAACAGGUAGAGUCAAAACAAGACGAAUCAAUCUAUCAAUCAAAUUAUAAGUCUGCAACUUAUUUGUUUCAACUAAUCCGCGACACAUUUUGAAAGCUCUGAUGACGGAGCACAUCAAUUUUAUAAUGAUUUAGUUGACAUCUUAAAUAAUGCAUUUCUUGCUCACUGAAAUCUUCUGGAUAAAAUUUCUCAGCAAGCUUGCAAAUAUCAUCAACUUUGAAUGAUUUAACCUUCGAUUCUAAAACUGAGCUAAGUAUAAGGAGUUCCACUGCUUCAUCACUAAAUCUGGAAUUCAACUCUUCCUGUUGAAAAUCUAUUGCUGAAUUAAACACAUCAAAAUGAUAGUGUUGGCAAACUGUCAUCGAUUCUUUUUGUUGGCAUGAACGACCGGUAGCCUUUUUGAAUGAAGCAUUCAUAUCUGGUAUGUCAAUGUCAUUUUGUGUGCAAACUGAUUGCACAUGCUCAAGGAGAUGAUCAAAUCCCUCUUCUCUCAAAGUGUGAAGUAGUGCUUUAGUAGUUGAGACUAGAUCCAUGGCAUUUACAAUGUCAAGAGAUUUGUGCUGCAAAGCUCUACAAAGCAAAUCAGUAAUCCCCAUAAUUUUAUGCAUCAUAUAUAGAGUGAAAAUAAAAUCAAAAGACCUCAUUAUAAUCAAACAACCACCAGCUUCUCCACGCAUAGAGUUAGAGGAUCCUUCUUCAACAAUACUUUCAAGCACUGAAAUAGUUGCACCAUACAUAUCAAUUAAGCUGCAAAUAGAAUCAAAAUGAGAGCUCCACCGAGUAGCUCCACUCCGAUGUAGAUUACCAAUCUGAUUAAGGCCUCUACCAGUAUCACGUUCACCAGAAGCUACCAUACGUGCAAUUUCAAUAGCUUGAGCAGAAUAUAACUCAGUAUGCCGUUUGGGAGAAGCACCAAUGAGAUUGAUAAUGGUUGUUAGUUUCGAAAAAAAUUGCCAAACAGAAAUCUCUUUUGAAGAAGCUGCAACUAAUGCUAAUUGUAGUCUGUGAGCAAAGCAAUGUACAUAGUAUGCGUAUGGAUAAUCUUUAAGAAAUAGAACUUGAAGUCCGUUCCAAGUAUCGCGCAUAUUACUAGCACCAUCAUACCCUUGACCUCGCAUAUUAAGGAUAUGCAAAUUAGCUCGAGCAAGGACAUUAGAUAUUUCUUUCUUCAAUGUUGAAGCAGUAGUUUCUAAAACAUGCACAAUCUCAAAAUAACGCUCUCAUAAGAAACCAUGGUUGUCAACAAAUUUCAAAACAAUAGCCAUCUGCUCUUUAUUUGAUGCAUCUUUGGCUUCAUCAACCAAAAUACAAAACUUUGCAUCUCCACUUCUUCACGAAUUUUUCUUCUUACUUUGUUUGCAAAAAUAUGCAAAAUUUCUUUCUGAAUAGUCGGUGAAGUAUAUUUAGCAUUUUUUGGAGCUUUCUCUAAGACUACAUCACCAAUGUUAACGUUCAAUCGGCCCAUAAGUCUUAUCAUCUCUAUAAAAUUACCACAAUUUUUAGAAGUUGGAGAUUCAUCAUGACCUCUAAAUGCACAAGCUUGCAAGCUAAGCCACUUUAUACUCUCAAUUGUUGCUGUAAGUCGCAACCGAUUCUUCUGAACUUCUUCUAGAGUGUGUGCAUUCAAGACUGUGUCAAUAUGUCCAGUUACUUUCAUCAAAUCUUCAACAUAUUUCACUGCAUUCCUAUGUGGUGAAGUAGGACCUCCCACAUGCAUCAAAAGUGCACAUCUAACUCCAUCAUUAACCCUCUUCCACCUAUUAAACCCUUCAAUAAUGAAUGUAGGAUGAAGAGGUACCUUAUUUUGAAAAACAAAGCAUGGAAAACAAAAUGCUGCAUCCUUUGAUGGAGAGUACUCUAACCAAGGAGAAAGGAUUCAAACCACGAAUAUUGAAAUUUUCGAUUUUGUGAGCCUGAUUUAGUCCUUGGGUACUCUACUAACUUAGGUUGAUACGGACCCAUUUUGAUAUAAGUUCUCCUAAUUUCAUCUCGUUGAUUAACAGGAUGUUGCCAUAUAGGGAUCCGAAUCCCAGGAUCCCGUUCAAGAGUACUAAGAUCAAUUUCAACUCUUCGAGAUUUGGAAAGGGGUGGUUGGUGAUUUGAGAUAUCAACAUUAGAUGGAGAAUGCCCUUCACUAGUUGUCGUUGAUGCACUUUCUCUUGGUUUAAAGAAAGAAAAUAAAGUUUUUUCUCUCUUGCUUCCUUGACUUUCCAUUGUGGCUUAUAAGAUAUUGGUCUGAAUUGCACUUGUGUCGUGGUCCAAUCUCUCUAACAUUUUGAAUCAUAAUAUCAAAAAUAAAAUAUCAAAACAUCCAGCACAAAUAUAUAAUUUAAUCACAAAAUCUUAGGCUCUAUAUAUUUCAAGAAAAACAAAUUUCAGAAAAAGUUUUCCACAUUCCCCUACGUUUGGUAUGACAAUGUAAUACUACCCCUAGUUCAUUAAAAAUCAAUUGCACAUUUAAGCUCAAUUUUCCUGCAAAUUAAUCCAGAACACAACAGAAGUAUUUUCCCUGAAAUUGUUUUCCUUAAAAAAAAAAGAUAGGCUCAUUAUCAAUUGAACAUGCACGCACUAGGGCUAACUCACCCAUAUUAGGUAGAUUAGAUGAGAUACCUCUGAGGGCUGAAAUCGCUUUCCAUUCAAAUUACAAUAGAAUCCAUCGGAACUUAAUUGAUUCGUAAGCUUAAUUAGCACACUGCAAAUAAUAUAUACAUUAAUACAUACUGUGAUACUGACAUACAUAUAUAUAGAUUGUUUUAAAAUUGGAAAAGAAUAAGAGCUUAUUAUCGAAGUAUAAAGUAUUUAACCUGAGAAAGAUGAGUUCGGUGAAGACGUUAAGUGAUCGAGCUGGGAGCCGCAGAAGAGGAGAAAGUUAUCGGGGGACACGUAAUUAGGGACGGCGACCACGAGGACUCGAGGAGGGUGAUGCGGGCCGCAGGGUUUGAUAGGGCGACAAUGGUAGCGGAGGAUGAUGUUGGGAGGGUUUGAUAGGGCUUUUGUUUGUUGGCUAAAAUAUUGGGCUGGGCCAUGAUAUAUGAGUAAAAAAAAAUAUUAAAUUGACCCAGGCUAAGAUAUAUACGAUCUUAAGCUUCACUCAUCAUCAAGCUUAAGAUCGUAUCAAUCAAGAGGUAACAUUUUAUCUCUGUUAUUUGAUUUGUGCUUAUCAAGUUAGUUAAUAAUAAAGAAAGUUAGUAACUUGAAUGGGUUAAAUUGGUUUUAGUUAUGUAGUUGAUCUCUAUUGACUGAAUUGGUAUAUGAAAGCAUGGGUAAUUGAGUUAUGUAUGGAAAUUGUAUUAUUGCAUAUUGAAAAUAUGUAGAAUCAAUGAAGAAUGAAACUUUGAAAAGUUUGAAAGUUAGUAAACUAACUAAUUUAUAAACUAAUUUUAUAUGUACAUGAUUUGGUUGUGCAGUUAAUAGGUAUGGAUUGAAAUUAGAGCUAAGGAGUAUAGGAUUGGUUGUGCGGAGUUAUAAGGUGGGAAAAACUGGGCUAGAACACAAACCAAACUCUAUGAAAAUUGAAUUUUAAAGCGACGCACACUAUGUGUUCGCUAAAAGUCCUCUAAGGACUGUUUUUGUUAAAAAAUGAAAACUAAGCUAAGCCAAGACCCGAGUUAUAUACACACAUUAUAUAUAACUAAUUAGAGUGUUUGGGUGAAUCGAAUCAAGAGAGGAAAUAUUUUUGAGACAAAACGAAAAGUUGAAAACUAGUAUGACCGCUGACCUUGAGGCCAAUUUCGGGUCUAGUAUAUGUUUCCAGAAACUUUUGUGCUUUUGGGGAUGUGUAGUACACUGAAUAAGCUUUCCAUAGACUCCGGAACGGACUAAUUCCGACUUCGGAGCAAGGAGUUAUGACAGUUCAAAGUAGUCGCGUCGAAUCUGCCAAAAAUCUGGAAAACAGAUUCAAAGCAGCCCCUUAGACGAAUUUUCUGGAAUUCUGUGUUUAGAAUUUGAAAAUGAUCAAAGAAUAAAAGUUGUAGUCCAGGAAGUUAGCUUCGCGUGGGCUCAAGAAUCGCUCAAAAAUGUUUUGAAACAAAGAAGUUAUAACUGUUUUAGUGCAACAGGGUCAGGUGGAAAAAAAUUUGAAAACUGUUACGAGUGGACAUUUUUGGGGCCUGUUUUAAGCUGCUUAUGAGGUCCGAAAUGGGUGGUUUGUAUUUUUUAAAAAUAGUCCUAUAUGUCAUGUCUAUCAUAUGUAAAAAUGGACGUCAUCCGAGUUAGGAGCUAGAAAUUAAAAUUGCUCAAAGUAGUUAUGGCGAGGAGAGAACUGCUGCGCUGUAGCAGUAGCAGGCAGCAGCAGAACGCUGCUGGGCAGCGCUUGGGGAGGGGGCUCUUUUGAGCUCUCAGUCGACAAGGUUAAAUUGCUCUAAUUGCUUAACUAGUAUCUUUUUAUCAUAGGUGAGUGUAACACCUAUAUUAUCUUCAAAAUUCAACAUAAAUGGAUCAUGAAUGUGAAAAAUAAAAUUUAUCAAAACUCGAAACAAGGGGAGGAGCUGCUGCCCAGCGCAGCAACGAGUAACAACAGCAAAAGUGGGAAGCAGCUGGUUGGGCCAGUUGUGGCUUCGUGGUUUAGUUCGAUAAUGUACCCAUAAAGUUUAGUUUCUAAAUUCUUAAAGAAACAAGUACAUGAGUUAUAAAGUAAUUACAAUUCAAUAUGAUUAAAGUGGUACUUUAAAAAGGUAAAAGUUAUUAGAGAUGGGCGUCUAAGCCAAAUGGCUGUAAAUGCUUGAAGGGACUGUUUUGGGCAUUCCAAAGAAACGCGAUGGUUUGUGUCCGGAAAUGAAACUAUAAAUUAUUACGAUAGCUAUAAACUACCCAUACAAGUUAUCAUUACACUCAAAGUACAACAUGAGCUACGAAUUCACCUUGAAUAACUAAGUUGUGUAUAAAAUGUACGGAAUACCCAUGUAUUAAAUUACAAGAGGGUUAUAAACUAAAAUUGUGAGAUAUUCAUAAACUAAAAUCUCGACAAAGUAUAUUAAAGCAAUAAAUGACUAUCAUGAGUAAAAGAAUAAAAGUUUUUAAACAGAAUAUAAGUGUUUUUCAAAAACAAGAAUGAAAGCCAAUGAUGUGGCCAAUAUGGAUAUGUAAUAUAUAAUUAUGCAGGUUAUAUGACAUGGACACAUAACUAAUUUGUUUAUAUAUGUGAAUAUAAUUGUGUAGGAGUUGUGAAAGAAAAUUAAGCAUAUCCCGAUGCACCGAGACAAAUAUAAAACACGGUCUAACAACCAUAUGACACUUAUAUUCAUUCGGAGCAUACUAGAAGCUAUAAAAGCGAUAUGUAAACAUAAGUUUACAUAUAUAUGGAUAAUAAAUCUGUAUAUUGGGAAUACGUGUACAGUGUGAAGAGCUAUUUCAAAAUUAUACUUUGAAACUGAACGAUUUUUUAAUUACAAAGAAAGAUAUACGUAAACGGGGUUGAAAACUCAUUGUUAACAUAUAUAAGCUAUGUAUAUACAUAAAAUAUACAAAUAGCUUAUAUUUACUUACGGGCUAAGCGAGAAAGGCAUGAAUUUGCAUUACGGUUAAGAUAUAUAUGCAAAAAUAUAUAUAUGCUUAACGUGUGAUUUCGUUUUUGUGCAGAAUUUUGCGCACUUUGGUGAUUGAGGCGCGUGACGAAUCUUGGCGUUAACACUACUACCUAAAAAACAUCGCCUAGUCAGAAGGUAGCUACUAAAAAAUACAAAUGGGUUCAAACUCAGACAUGAGUCUUAAGAACUAUAGUUGAAAUAAAGAAAAAUUGGAGCCUUUAUUUCUUUCUAUUAAAAUCUAGAUGAAUUGAAGUUUUUUACAAAAUGCAUGAAUAUAUCUACAACUUUUGAUCCCUAAAAUGGAAUAAAUCCGCAAGUAGAGAGUAUAAAUAGUUAGGUCAAAAACUCAUUUAGCUAACAUGGAGAUUGUAUACUAGUAAGAAAAAGAAGACAUAAUAGAAAAAACAAAGAUGAGUGAGGGCAUAAUUUCUAGAAUCAGUUGACAAAGUACAAAACCAUCAUUCAGAAUUUCAAUCGGAGAGAAUUCAUAUGUGCAUCUAGUUAAUCAAAUGAAUAAAUCUUAUCAGAAUAUAAAGAGAUAGGGGAACCUGAUAUUUGGAACUGCCGAAAAGGGGAUUGGAGAUCCUGUUUUGUGGGACAGCCGGUGAAGGAAAGGAAGCGAGAGCCGUACCGGCGCCGGAUUUCGGAAUAUUACAGGGAAAGAAGAAGACUGAGAAAGGCUCUACCUAAACUUGAAGCAGUAAUUUUUUUUUCCUUCGGGACAUAGCAUCUUUUGAUUUUAUUUUUUAUUUAUGAAAACUAAUAAAAUUAAAUAAAACACUCAUAUAAUCCCAUUGUUAGGGGUGGGCAAAAAAAUCGGUUUAUUCGAUUUUUCGGCGAACCGGACCGGUUCGAACCGGCCGGUUCGGGAUAAAUGUGCACCGGUUCGGUAACGGUAUAAAAAACCGGUAUAUACCGGAUAAUCGGGACCGGGUUCGGGAGGUUACUUUGUAAGUUCGGUACGUACCAAACCGCACCGGAUUGAACCGGUUAAUUGAACAAAGAGGCUGGACCGGUUAAUUGAAUAAAGGCAAAGCCUUUUAUUUCUUAAUUACCAAAUUAACUCAGAGAUCAGAGUUCUUCUCUCACCUCGUCUCCACACCACACCUACUCUCUCUCCACUCUCCAAGACUCCAAGUCUCAAUCUCAAGUCUCCGUCGCUAGUGGAUUGAAAAAAAUAGUGCAAUGGCUCUCCAUCUUCUUCUCCUCCUUCAUUAAUGUCUUCAUUAGUGUAACAGAUCUAUGUAUUUGUGAAUUUUUUUUUCAUGGGUUUGUGCAAAACGAUUUGGGUUUGUGAUUUGGGGAUCCUGAAUUUGUUCAAAUUUUUUGGUUAUGGUUUAAACUUUCUGAUGAAAAUUUUGAAAAAUAUUAUGGGUCUGAGGACUGAGGUCUCUGUUUCUAUCAAUUCAUAUUGUUCUUGUAGGUGCUUGAAUCUAGGGUUUGUUUGAAGAGGAAAGUUGUGUAAGGAAGUCAUGGACUUGUAAUUUGUUUGUGGUAAUUUGUUUAUGAAAAGACUAAUUUCUUGAUUUUAAUUUUCGAUGCUUUGAUUUCUUGUUUGUGGUAAUUUUUGUUGGAUCUUUGAUAGUUUAUGUUGAGGGUAAAACCGUAGAAGCUAUUGGCUUCUUUCUAUCAUUACAUUUUGCAGAAAUUAGAUGAAUGGACAUCUUUUUUAACAGGUUACCAUCUAAAAGGUUGAUUAUAAUUUUGUUUGUUGUAGUAUUUAAAACCAUUGGUUAUUGUAUGUUUGGUUUAUUGGAUUGAUUUGGAAAUCUUUUUGAUUGAAUUGAAUGGGUUAAUUGAAAUAUGUGAUUACUUGCUUAGUUGAUAGCAGUCAAGUGUUGCUUCUUAGUUGAUUGCAUACAACCGGUACAAAAUAGGUACAAACCGAUUCCGGACCGGUUCCGAACCGGUUAAUCGGUUCGGGAUACCGGUUUCACCAGUACCGGUAUCGGUACGUAAACUUGGUUUCUUUCGGUAUUCGGUACAGUUCGGUACGAGUCGGUCCGGUCCGGUCCUGUAAUUUACCGAUGCCCACCCCUACCCAUUGUCCCUAAUUGAGAGUUCUACUUGAUUUACGUUAAGACAAAUAAUUAUAAUUAAAUGAAUUUUAUCUAAAUCUUAUUAUGUAUUAAAAAGUGAAAAUGUCAAAUGAAAAUUUUAUUUUGGGUAGAAUGAGUAGUUGAAAGGAGUUAAAAAUAUAGAUAUAAGUUUGAUGGAAAAAAAGAUGACAUUUUAAUUCACUUAUACUGUAAUUUCAUUUAAGCAGGGUCAUUAGCGAAUUUGGAUUUCUGACAGUUAUAAAUGAACAGUGUAUUUUGACAGUUUAUAAAAAUAAGUUACAUUUUUAUAUUCUAGAGAAUUAAAUUUAAUUUGAGGGACUCAAAUUUCAUUUUGGACUUGAAUUUUUGUCCAAACUUAGCUCGGCUCACCCUCAAAUUACCAGUGCUACCAGUGCUUCUUGAAAAGUCUGGUUCCCCUAAUUCCACAUUCCCCAUCCCCAACUCUGCAGUGCUCUUUUCCUACUUUCUCAACCUAUUUGUUUCAUCAUUCAAUUUGUUUUAUUGGUUGAUUUUUAAGUUGAGUUUCUUCACUAAAUUGAAACUUGUCUAUGGUCUUGGAAUUCUUCAACUUUGGUUAUCUUGGUCCUCUUAAAAAUCUUUUUUACUGGUUGCAUGUUUUCCCUCUGUUGAAACCUUUUAAUAUUGUUGGCAAUUUGGCAUAAUCAAAGUUUGGAUCGCAGAGAUGGCCAAUAGAUAUACAGAUUCUAGAAGGGUUGCACUAUAUUCAAGGAAUUAUGCAUGAAGCAUCUUUUUUGGUUCGUCAGUUUUAGGGCUUUUUGUUGGGGGGAUAUUAAGUCCAUUAUUGUAGUUUAAAUUUCAAUGUUUAUUUUUCUCGAUAAGCUUCGUACUUCAUAUUUUAGCUUCAUAUAAUAAGCUUAUCAAAGCAUCUUUCCUUUUUAACAAAAUUGUAUGCUUGCAGGAGAACCAUACCUGGGUUGGAUGAGUGGGGCUUCUUCAUCUGGCGGGUUACGGUCAGCUUUCUCCUAUUGCGUACAGCAAGUACGAAAUUAUGACUACCACCACUACCUCUGUCUUCUUGAACUUCCCCCUGACAUGCGGAGAGCUGCAUUUGCUCUCCGUGCUUUCAAUGUUGAAACAGCUAGAGCUAUGGAUGUUGCUUCUGAUCCAAAAAUUGGGCUUAUGCGUCUACUAUGGUGGCAAGACGCUAUAGACAAGAUCUUUGCAAACAAGUUAAUUGAGCACCCAACUGCUCGGGCCCUUGCAUCUGUAAUAUCAGAGCAUAAAGUCAGCAAGAGCUGGCUAAAGCGGUCUGUUGAAGCUCGGAUCAAUGAUGCCCAAAGAGAGGUGAGUGACAUCCCACAGAUUGUUAAUGACUUGGAGAAAUAUGCUGAGGAUACUGUAUCAACUAUAUUGUACACAACCCUUCAAGCAGGCGGUAUCAGGUCCACAACAGCAGAUCAUGCAGCAUCACAUAUAGGCAAGGCAAGUGGUGUUCUGUUGCUGCUAAAGUCUCUGCCGUACCAUGCGAGUCGUAACCGCCACUUUUCAUAUAUACCAGCUGAGGUAGCGGGAAAACAUGGGUUGUUGGUUAAGCAAGGUGGUCAAUCAGAAAUCCACAUGGAUUCCCGUGAGGGCCUGUGUGAUGCAGUUUUUGAGAUAGCAACUGUAGCUAAUGCACAUCUGCAGAAGGCUCGUGAAUUGGCUGGAACAGUGCCGGCAGAGGCUCGUCCAGUGCUUCUGCCGGCUGUGCCUGCCCAGGUUCUUUUGGAUUCUUUGAGACGCGUGCACUUUGAUGUCUUUGAUCCGAGACUGUCCCAUGGGAUUUUGGGUAGUCCUCCGUUAUUGUUCCAGUUGAAGCUGAAGUGGCAUUCAUGGAGGGGUAAGUACUAGAGUUUCAUUCAUUUUGCAUUCCCGGCGGACUAAAAAUAAAAUCACCCAAUGGAGAGUGAAAUUAUAAAUUGUACUAUUGUGUUUUUCAGUGAAGACUUCAUAGCAAUUUUUUCAAAGGCAUGGGUGUGAGUUUUAUCAACUGCAGAAAUGAAGUGCAAAUGCAUUCAUUGUGUUCCUCUUAACACCGGUGUAAUUUGAGGAUUUAGCAUUAGACAUAAGAAGUUUUCCCCCCAAAAUUCUAGCAUUAGACAAGUGCUGUAACUACACAUUAUAAUUUAUGGCGAGGAUAUUAUUUUUUUACCGCAUGCUUUCCGUUGAUUCAUUAGAUUGCAUUAGUUAAAUGAACCACAGGUUACCACCAUACCUCACAUAAAUAUAUGCCACAGAAAAAAGCAUUAAUGUAUAAAGGGAAUGGUUUAUUCAGUUAAAUUAAUGAAAUGAAAUAACACCAAUUCCAGACAGAGAAAAGGAGAUUAAAUAUAAUUAAGCUAAAAGCACUAUUAGUAACUCUACAUGACAUUCCUUUAGAAGUGGACUAAAACUUUAGGAACAUUGAAAAAUGAUAUUUCAGAUCAGCCUUUCUUUCGAUCACUAUUAAUGUAAAAAUACAACAUAAUUAAUUAAUAGCAAGGAUGGUGCCCCAGACACCGUGAUUCCCGUCUACCGGAUCUGUUGCAGAAAAGAGAUAAUGUGCACAAAUUAAUUCGGGGUUCUUAUGAUAUAUUACAAAAACAAAACUAUUUAUUUUUGAACAACAACGGACAAUUAUUCAAAUCAUAAAGUAACUCGAACACUUAAGAAAUCGGUUGGAGAGACAUAUUCACAUCACUAGAUUCGACAACGCAAUCAAACCAUUGAAUUAUAAGAUUAUUGAACAAAAUUUCAUUUUUUGAUUUAUUAUAUUUAUUCCAUGACCGGGAACGGGUAUUGUAAGACCCCAAAUUAUUAAUAAAUAAAAUUUAUUUUCCUCUAUUUAUUAUUUUAAAAUAGUAAGGGUUGAUUUGAUUAAUGUGGAUAGUUAUGGGUAAAAUACGCAAAUAUUUCGAAUAAGCAAGUGGUUAUAAAAUAUUCAUUAUUGUCGGGGAAUAUUCGUUUGGUCGUNNNNNNNNNNNNNNNNNNNNNNNNNNNNNNNNNNNNNNNNNNNNNNNNNNNNNNNNNNNNNNNNNNNNNNNNNNNNNNNNNNNNNNNNNNNNNNNNNNNNNNNNNNNNNNNNNNNNNNNNNNNNNNNNNNNNNNNNNNNNNNNNNNNNNNNNNNNNNNNNNNNNNNNNNNNNNNNNNNNNNNNNNNNNNNNNNNNNNNNNNNNNNNNNNNNNNNNNNNNNNNNNNNNNNNNNNNNNNNNNNNNNNNNNNNNNNNNNNNNNNNNNNNNNNNNNNNNNNNNNNNNNNNNNNNNNNNNNNNNNNNNNNNNNNNNNNNNNNNNNNNNNNNNNNNNNNNNNNNNNNNNNNNNNNNNNNNNNNNNNNNNNNNNNNNNNNNNNNNNNNNNNNNNNNNNNNNNNNNNNNNNNNNNNNNNNNNNNNNNNNNNNNNNNNNNNNNNNNNNNNNNNNNNNNNNNNNNNNNNNNNNNNNNNNNNNNNNNNNNNNNNNNNNNNNNNNNNNNNNNNNNNNNNNNNNNNNNNNNNNNNNNNNNNNNNNNNNNNNNNNNNNNNNNNNNNNNNNNNNNNNNNNNNNNNNNNNNNNNNNNNNNNNNNNNNNNNNNNNNNNNNNNNNNNNNNNNNNNNNNNNNNNNNNNNNNNNNNNNNNNNNNNNNNNNNNNNNNNNNNNNNNNNNNNNNNNNNNNNNNNNNNNNNNNNNNNNNNNNNNNNNNNNNNNNNNNNNNNNNNNNNNNNNNNNNNNNNNNNNNNNNNNNNNNNNNNNNNNNNNNNNNNNNNNNNNNNNNNNNNNNNNNNNNNNNNNNNNNNNNNNNNNNNNNNNNNNNNNNNNNNNNNNNNNNNNNNNNNNNNNNNNNNNNNNNNNNNNNNNNNNNNNNNNNNNNNNNNNNNNNNNNNNNNNNNNNNNNNNNNNNNNNNNNNNNNNNNNNNNNNNNNNNNNNNNNNNNNNNNNNNNNNNNNNNNNNNNNNNNNNNNNNNNNNNNNNNNNNNNNNNNNNNNNNNNNNNNNNNNNNNNNNNNNNNNNNNNNNNNNNNNNNNNNNNNNNNNNNNNNNNNNNNNNNNNNNNNNNNNNNNNNNNNNNNNNNNNNNNNNNNNNNNNNNNNNNNNNNNNNNNNNNNNNNNNNNNNNNNNNNNNNNNNNNNNNNNNNNNNNNNNNNNNNNNNNNNNNNNNNNNNNNNNNNNNNNNNNNNNNNNNNNNNNNNNNNNNNNNNNNNNNNNNNNNNNNNNNNNNNNNNNNNNNNNNNNNNNNNNNNNNNNNNNNNNNNNNNNNNNNNNNNNNNNNNNNNNNNNNNNNNNNNNNNNNNNNNNNNNNNNNNNNNNNNNNNNNNNNNNNNNNNNNNNNNNNNNNNNNNNNNNNNNNNNNNNNNNNNNNNNNNNNNNNNNNNNNNNNNNNNNNNNNNNNNNNNNNNNNNNNNNNNNNNNNNNNNNNNNNNNNNNNNNNNNNNNNNNNNNNNNNNNNNNNNNNNNNNNNNNNNNNNNNNNNNNNNNNNNNNNNNNNNNNNNNNNNNNNNNNNNNNNNNNNNNNNNNNNNNNNNNNNNNNNNNNNNNNNNNNNNNNNNNNNNNNNNNNNNNNNNNNNNNNNNNNNNNNNNNNNNNNNNNNNNNNNNNNNNNNNNNNNNNNNNNNNNNNNNNNNNNNNNNNNNNNNNNNNNNNNNNNNNNNNNNNNNNNNNNNNNNNNNNNNNNNNNNNNNNNNNNNNNNNNAUGUUUUAAACAUUUAUUGCAACAAAAAUACUCUUCCUCCUCACAUAUACUCAUAUAUCCCACAUUUAUCAUAAAAAUAUUAUUAUUAUUAUAUUAUUAAAAUAUAAUAAUAUAUUUAAAUGAAUUAUUUUAUCAGAAAAAGAUAAAAUUUUAAUUUUCAACAAUUGUCACAUUAAAAAUUUUCUCCAUCUAUAUCCACAUAAAAUCAAUAUUUUCCUCAUCAUAUGAAUCAAUAAUUAAUAUUUCAUAAAUAAUAUUACAGAAUCACAAUAUUGACAACCAGACAGUUCCUAGGAAAGAGGGGGCUUUCCAAUAAGAAUUUCUCCUUACUGGCGCGCAAUUAGGUGACCAAACCUCUCCUUAGACAGAACUUUCUAGACAUUGCCAAUAAUGUUAUUCAGAUAAUAUUAUUCAGAUAAUAUUAUUCAGAUAAUAUGAAUUAUUGCUUCGAUAAUGAAAAAUACUGUGUAAUGAUAAUUAUUGAAACAACAAUAUAAAAUAUCAACGCAGCAAUUACUAAAUCAAUAAAAUACUGAACAGUAAUUACUGUAACCAUUAUUGAGUAGUGCCUUCUUACGUAAGAAUCAAUAAUUGGUGCAAUACCGUGUGCUACUGUGUUUUAUCCACCGGGUAUUCCAACAGUAUUAACGGUAACAACUACGACGUUAUUUAUAAAUAACUUAUUCUUGUCGUUUUCUUCCUCCAAUCGCUUUCCGUUAUGGGACCCACACAUGGCUGCGCCGUCGUACGAAUAUUCCCCGACAGUACGAAUAUUCCACGACCAAACGAAUAUUCUCCGACAAUAAUGAAUAUUUCAUAGCCACUUGCUUAUUUUGAAAUAUUUGCGCAUUUUACCCAUAACUAACCAUAUUAAUCAAAUUAACCAUUACUAUAUUAAAAUAAUAAAUAGAAGAAAUUUUAAUUUCAUUAAUAAAAAUUUGGGGUCUUACACUUUGAGUAUUGCUAUACGGUGCAAGUUCAAGUCAUAGCCUAUAUCCGGUGUUUCAACUAGAAGUACUGUCUUUCGAGGUAAGGGAUGUUAUUUUAUUCGAAAAUGNNNNNNNNNNNNNNNNNNNNNNNNNNNNNNNNNNNNNNNNNNNNNNNNNNNNNNNNNNNNNNNNNNNNNNNNNNNNNNNNNNNNNNNNNNNNNNNNNNNNNNNNNNNNNNNNNNNNNNNNNNNNNNNNNNNNNNNNNNNNNNNNNNNNNNNNNNNNNNNNNNNNNNNNNNNNNNNNNNNNNNNNNNNNNNNNNNNNNNNNNNNNNNNNNNNNNNNNNNNNNNNNNNNNNNNNNNNNNNNNNNNNNNNNNNNNNNNNNNNNNNNNNNNNNNNNNNNNNNNNNNNNNNNNNNNNNNNNNNNNNNNNNNNNNNNNNNNNNNNNNNNNNNNNNNNNNNNNNNNNNNNNNNNNNNNNNNNNNNNNNNNNNNNNNNNNNNNNNNNNNNNNNNNNNNNNNNNNNNNNNNNNNNNNNNNNNNNNNNNNNNNNNNNNNNNNNNNNNNNNNNNNNNNNNNNNNNNNNNNNNNNNNNNNNNNNNNNNNNNNNNNNNNNNNNNNNNNNNNNNNNNNNNNNNNNNNNNNNNNNNNNNNNNNNNNNNNNNNNNNNNNNNNNNNNNNNNNNNNNNNNNNNNNNNNNNNNNNNNNNNNNNNNNNNNNNNNNNNNNNNNNNNNNNNNNNNNNNNNNNNNNNNNNNNNNNNNNNNNNNNNNNNNNNNNNNNNNNNNNNNNNNNNNNNNNNNNNNNNNNNNNNNNNNNNUGGGCUAGUUGAGCUCACCCUUUUCCUUUUUGUUCCAUUUUUCUUCUCAGGAGGCGAGAAUGUAGCGAGUACUAGUCGGGGUAUGGAAUGAAGGUUCUAGAGAGAGUUGUUUAGUAGUCCUCACCAUUUUUAUAAAAUAAUGUAUCAAUAUUAUGAUGGGGAUUUAUUUGCGUGUGAAUAUUGUCUAGAUGACAAUAUCUGUAUUUAAACUCACAAUUUAUAUGUUGUAAUAAUAAAGUUAUAGUUAUUUCUGUACCAUGUAUUUGGCGACUCAGAAUAAAUUGAAUAAAAUGAACCUAUUUUGGGGGCGUCACAUGUAUGAUACACGAUAAUCGCCUAUUUCUCAUUUUUGCUCAAGAGCCAAAACGAUCACACCUGGUACCCAAGAGAACAAACGAAACCGCACUAAAAAUUAUUUUCUCAUAUAGAAAUAUUAGUUAUCAAAAUUUAUAGUGUCCUAAUUAUUUUUAAUUAUUCUCGGUUAGGAAAUGAGAGUUGCAUUGAGAAUUAGAACUUUUUAAACUAAUGUUCACCUAAUUAACAGUUAAACAUAUUUAUUUUACCAACAAAUUAAAAUUGAAAUGCGUCAUAAACAAUCCAAUAGUUACAAAUUUAAAUGUUUUUAUUUGCAUUACUUUUUUUUUUUUGGCUCAAAGUUGUCUCUUUUAUCAAUAACAAAUACAAGUUUUUUAUUUUGGUUUUUUUUAUUUUUUAUUUUUUUUAUGUUUACUCUUUAGGUAUAUAUAGGCCAUUGGAUUUAGUCAACGAGUGGGACCCACUAAAUGAGUGACAUGAUUGAAAAAGAGCGUCCCUAGAUGCGGAUUGACUUCGACUCUAUCAUACAACUGGCACCACCCAAUUAUUCUCCUACAAAUUAUUACUCCUAUUAUAUAAAUAGAUUUCCUAAAGUAGAUUCCUUAUUAACCUAUUCCUUGAUAUAUAUAGUAAUUAUUUAAUACUAGGGUUCCAUUCUUCAAAACGAAGGCGACGCCCAUUCUCCAAAAGCUUCAAUCUUUCUCAUCUAUUUUGCUUGCUUCUACUCUGCUGGUACUCGUAAUUUUACAAUUUCAUUACUUAUUUACUUUAAUUCAAUUCUUUUCUGUCUCUGUGCUUAUUGACUGUAGUUUUAAUUUAUCUUUUCUGUAUGUGAAUUCAGCUUUACUUAAUUAUGAAAUGGGGUUAUUAGAUCUGUAUCUGUUAAACAGUUUGGUGGUUAGCUGAUUUAUGAUAUGUGAUUAAUUUCUUAAGUAAAAGGAAGAGUCUUGCUAAGAUGUAGGCAUAAACUUCAGAUCUUAGUAUUGAUUAAUUGUCUGUUCUUUUUUUGAUGUUUAUGAUUAUGCUAAAUUGCUAAUGUUGCUUAAUUAGUUGAAUUUUUGGAAUUGUUCUGUUUGGAUGACUGAAGAGAUCCAGUUUAGUAAAUGGUUGGUUAUAGAUUUUUCUGAAUUAAUUAGAGGAAUUUAUAUGGAGUUUAAGGUGUUUAACUGUCUUUUAUAUAAGUGAAGAAGAUGUAUGAGAAAGAAAGACUGGUACAACUAGAAAGAGAAUGGCUCUGCAAAGAAGAGCUAGAAGUGAAGGAAAUUAAAUUACUUCAAUCCGUAGAAUUUGUAAAUAGCUACAGGCUACUCCAAAAAUCCCCCAUUAAAGAUCGCUAAAGAGUGUCUGUGGGAGAGAGUUAAUUUAUUGUUAACUACUCCCUCCGUCCCAUAUUACAUGUCCUAAUUUCCAUUUUUGGAUGUUUCAAAAUAAAUGUCUUAUUUCUAUAUUAGUAACUAAAUUUAUCAUAUUAUUCCUCUAUACCCUCAUAAUCUAUUUAAUGUACUUAUUGGGAAUGUGAGUUACAAGAAAAAUGUAUCUAAAGAAUUAAAUGAUAUAUGAAAGAGCAAUUAUUGGGGUCAUAAAAAAGUGAAGAAGUACUAAAAUUAAUAAGUAAUCAAAAAGGGAAAUUUAGGUAAAAGAAAAAUUUAUUAAUUAGCGUGCCGAAAUUAAUUAGGACGUUUAUUUUGGGACAGAGGGAGUAUUUUUUUGGUAUAUGAUCUGUGUAUAAACAUAUGUCUGUCCUAGGAUUUAUGAAUUUGUGUGCUCAGAAUUUUCUCAUAAUUUGCUAGGUGAAUUUAAAAUAAUGAGAAUUAGGAGGAGAAACCUAGUUUAUUUGCACAAAGUGAUGUUUACAAGAAAGAAAGAAACAGGAUUGUCAAUUUCAGUUUGUUAACUUUAUGAAAUACAAUGACCCUGCUAAGCAUCUAUGUAUGAUGAAUGCUAUUUUCUUUUUAUAAGUGAUAAAUGUUAUAAGAUCUGACUGAUUUCAUGUCGAGAAAUGGAAUAAUAUCUUACUGCACAAUUUUUUGUUGCUAAUGUAGUAUUUAGCCUGCUGAUUGUUUAUUUCUUAAAUUCUAGCUGACAUAAGGUGAGCAAUACAAAUAUGGUUUGGUUCAAUUGAUCUGUUACGGUUCUGGAUCACAUUACUAUAUUUAAAUGGUUUACAGUUACUUAUGACAUGAUCAAUACUCCACCGCCCUUGCAUCUAACUAUGUGAAAAUGGUGGAUUAUACAAAUUUUUAGUUGUCUCCUUUUUAUGCUUUAUUUUUUUGGGAAGGUGCAGAAAUGUCGGAAGAUAUAGAAUACCGCUGCUUUGUGGGUGGUCUCUCGUGGUCAACAUCUGAUAGAGUUCUAAAAGAGGCAUUUGAAAAGUUUGGCAAUCUUGUUGAGGCGAAGGUAAAAAUUAACUAAGCUAGCUUUUCAUUAUCUAGUUUUCUUUUUAUAAGUUUUUCUUUAUACAACUAUGAAUAUAAUAAGCAUACUUUAUUUGAAUCUUUCAGUCUUAUGACCACCUUAGAAGCUCCUGAUCCUGUCCUCAAAUACCUUAUAAAAUUUGCCAAAUAUAAGAUUUCAUUAGGUUCAAAUACCUUUUUUUUUUGAUUUUAUAACUACAUGAAUUGUCCUUCUUUUCCUGGUCAUGGUUUGUGCUAGGCUGGGACCAACCCAGCAGAUUUAAAUGCAUUUUGCGAGUAUAAUGCAUUACUAUAGAUGGGUAUAUCUGUUGUUUAAGUUGUUCCCUGAUUGAAUUUUUCAAAUGCCUUGGUAGUCUUUAUUGAGAUUCUUACAUGAAAAUGUAUUUGUUGUUUUAGGUUGUUGUUGACAAGGAAUCUGGCCGUUCUCGUGGAUUUGGAUUUGUGACUUUUGAUGACAGGCAAGCGAUGGAUGAUGCUAUUGAAGCAAUGAAUGGAAUAGAUUUAGAUGGGAGAAAUAUCACAGUGGACAAGGCUCAGCCGCAAGGAGGUAGAGAUAGUGGUAGAGGUAGUGACCGUGAUCGUGAUCGUGAUCGUGGUCGUGACCGUGACUAUGGAGGAGGUGGACAUGGAGGAGGUGGGCGUGGGGGAGGUGGUGGAGAGUGUUUUAAGUGUGGUAAACCAGGACACUUUGCUAGGGAAUGUCCUGGUGAAGGGGGGGAUAGAGGGGGUAAGUAUGGUGGCAGGGAUGAUAGGUAUGGCGGUGGUCGCGGUGGAGGUGGUGGCCGUUUUGGUCCUGAUAGGAAUGGUGAUCGUUACGGUGGGCGUAACAGGGAUGCUGGUGGCCAUGGGGGAGGUGAUCGUUAUAACCGUGACCGCUCUGGACCAUAUGAGCGCCGAUGAAUGAAUUGCUUGAAAUUGUAUGUUUGCAACUUUCAAUUAUUGCAUUAAUUCUACACCCUACAUGAAAGAAGCUACUUUUGGGUGAGUGUGAUGCUUAUGGAUCUAUCUUCAUGUACAAUUGCAGGUGAAGAAUUGGAGAUGUUGCUGUUACUGGAUGCUGGUUGUUUGGAAUUUUGUGAACAAGAUGUCUUCUUUCUUCACGUUUAGGCAAAUUGGAUCAAAGUAGUGGAUCAAACAUUUGAAAGUGUGAAACUUGGUUUCGUAACCUACUGUUUGUCCUAAAUUGUUCGAUAUUUGGUCCGCUGGAGUGUUAUGCUUGCUUGACUUGCAUAUGCAAAUCUGGUCUUACACUAUGAAUGCCAUUAUUGCUGCUGGUUUAUCUACUUUCUUUUAUAAGCAAUUACAACUGCCAAUAUUGCUGCUGGAUGCAUAAUGAUUUUCUCGAUUACUCGAUAGACAUUUGCACAUCUCAAAAGUUUUUAUGGUGAUAUAUGGGUCUCUGAGAACUAUUUGUCAUAAUGUUUGUGGGUCUACAAUCGGGUGUUAUUUCCUUUUGGAUUGGGAUGUAGAUACUUAACAAGUAAACUGGAAUUAAUCGGGUAAUUCUUUACUUUUUUUUUUUCAUUAACCUUGAACAUCUACUACUUUAUGUAUUAGACUUUUGCAAUAUUAAUUUUGUUAACCUUUUCGCAGGCUGUUUGCUAGUUAUGGUCUUUGUGGGUACAUGAUUGGCUUUCUUUGUUGCUAGUUGGGUAUGUUUUAAACUUAAAAUUGAGAGGGGCUUUUUUUGGAAGCUACAAGCCAUCUGCAAGUAAUUAUAACCCCUCAGUCACUCUUUAUAUGCUGAAAGGUGCAGUGAUGGAAGCAUUCCAUUUUCUGUAAGCACGUGGCAGGUUGUUUGGAUGCUCUUGACGAGUUCAGCAACUGUUGUCCACCCUUUUAUUGUUGUUCUCUUUCCACAUUGCUCUUCUUGGGAAGGUUCUUGUUUCUCUACACUUUUGAUGCCCUGGUUUCUGUUGCUGAGAUCUAGAUCAGGGGUUAAGUCAGAUUGCUGUUCCUAUCUCAGCCUGUGGUUCCAAUCAUUUAUUUUGUUACCUCGAGGAUGGUUCUGCCUCUAAAUUUCCUAGUGGAGAUCGCAGCUCUUUUGAGUUCAAACUUGUCCUGGAAUGAUUAUUUAUUGUUGGGGUAGUCCCAAGCCCUGGAACGAUUAAUUUAUUGUUUGGGUAGUACUGAGUUAGUCUCAUUUUUUAGUCUUAUUUCUUGGGUCCCAUUUUUCGCAAUUUGGAAGUAAUGUCUGUAGCCUUUGGCCGCUACAAGCUAGCACUUCCAUUUGAAAGUUUUAUAGCAUGCAUUUAUCAAUGGUUGAUGUGUUUGUUUGUUUUACCACGUGUAGAUCUGUAUUGUACUUGGUGAGCAGAUGUGUAUAUUUGUGCGUGUAUGUAUAUAUAUAAUAUAUGUGUGCUCACAGAUACACCUGCCUCUAAUAGGCAGAUACUUAGCUUGAAGUCUUACAAUACACAUUUCCAGAUUUCCUGCUCGUACAUGAUAUAUGUUUCUCUUUUAUAUUAAGCUGUUCUACAUCAACAUCAAUUAUUCAAUUAUAUUGCAAGGCUUUGGGGCUGAAGAUUUGGCAUAUAUUUUUGUUGGUUGAGAAAACUUUUUGGAGCUUCUAGUUGGAGUAGAGUUUUGUUAUUUAUAUAUGUAUGUGUUAUUCUUUUAGGUGGGAUUUAUUUUAUACCUUUUGGUAGGGCCAAUAGAUUAUAUUUUGGUGCGUCUUUGUCAAUAACAUAAUAGUAAUGCUACAGAUACAAACUCAGCAUAUUGAUUAACAAAUUGUUUCAAUGUAGUAUUCGGCUUCACAUAAAAAGAUGAGGUAGAGUAUGUCAUAUCGGUAGUUUGUAAAAUAUUUGUAGAAUAGUUUGUGUCUGUAACAUUAUUCAUACCAUCAACAGCCUAACCAUAGCAGAUCUCAAAAUCUAGGUUGAAGCAAUUAGUAAACUACAUGUUUUAUCAAAACUUGAGUAUUGCUUGCUAUAUCCACUGAAAAAACAUGCAGACUCUUGGCAAACUAGGAACAAUUGCUAGUUGCUAGUUGCAAUAUUCAUUGUCAAUAUUCCAAUGUGUCUAAUUAGUUGAAAAUUCAGAUGUCAUUUUGUUGGGGUACAUGUUGUAUUUCUCAGAACUAUGUGUUCUUAAAUGUUUUCUUGAGUUAUGUUGUUAGAUGUUUAUUUCUUCAUCUUUAUGUAAUCGGUAAAGGUGGUUUUGUUCUUCUAAUCUUCUUCAUCUUAUGUCUGUAGAUUAAAUUUAAAUACUUAUUUUUGACAACUAAAUAAUUUAAACAUAAAUUAUUCAUUCACAAGUUGCACCAAGAACAUGUACUCUCUAUCUUAGUUACUACCUUCGUUCUUAAAAAUUAUCGUUUAAGGUUUUGGCACAUGGAUUAAGAAAGUAUCAUUUAUCAAGUAAAAUUUGUUUGAAAUUCCAUCACUACCUCUUUAUGGGAAGUUGAAAACUCUUAAUAUAAGAGAGAUAAUUUCUUGGGACAAUGAGAGAAGGUUUGGGUAAUAUAGGAAAGUAAAUAAUUUAUUCUCUUUGAAAGUUGUAAACGACAAAUUUUUUGGAACAAAUUUUUUCUUCUAAAACGGAAAUCUUUUAGGAAUGGAGGGAGUAAUUUUUAGGGUUUCAAAUUGUAUUUUAGCUUUGAUGAUAUUCUUGGUAUUGUUAUCUUUUUAAGAGAGAAUGAUAUCUUCUGCUAAAAUUCUCAUUCCAGCGCAAAUGUACAAUGUUUAAUACAUAAGAUACAAUCAUCGUUUGCACGGAAAUUUAGGACUGAAAAUAUCAGCUCCAUUUAUAUUAAGAAUGCUGAUAUGAUAUACUACUAGUAUAUUUCAAGAUAUUGCCAUUUUAGUUGUUUUUUGAAAGUGUAGAAAUGAAAUAGAAAGUCCUCCUUUCAUAUAAAAAAGGAACCCUAUUCACCCACUGAUUGAAAAAGUGGAUUUUGGAAAAACUGGGAUGUUUUAUUAAUUUCACAUUGCUAUAGUAUAUUUUACAGUACAACUGAGUGGCAUACGGGAGGGACCAUCAAAAGUCAAAUAAAACUCUCAUUUUAAGACAAACAGAGUAGUAACCCUUAGACGCAAAGUUGGACAUUACACAUUUACAAUCUAGUAGAGCCAAUCAACUUGGUGAGCCCAAAUGUAAUGGCCAUAGCCAUCCAGCCUCCAAUCAGCACCCUGGCACAAGACUUGAACACUGGAGUCCUUCCCAUCACAGCUCCAACCCAUCCAAACACGACCAAUGCCAAUGUCACUGCAGCCACCACCACAUCAAGCCUCACCAUAUGAUCCCCAAUAAAAGCAGCAGCUAGUAGUGGAACUAUGGCUCCUACCAUAAAUGCAAGGGCUGAUGCUAUAGCUGCCUGCAGGGGAUUUGGCAACUUUUUCUUCUCAUUUUCUUCUCCAUUCGACAAAUUAUUGUUCCUUCUCUUGUCCCUCUUUUUUUGAGCUACCUCGAUAUCAAGUUGGGAGUAUACAGAAACAAACUCUCCAAUUGCCAUACUACAGGCACCGGCAACUAGCCCUGCAAAGCCAGUAAGGAUCAUGGCUUUGACAUCUUUUUUAACUGCGCCUACUCCCAUCAUUAGUGAUGCAAUGGACACCAAUCCAUCAUUGGCUCCAAGCACAGCGGCUCUAAGCCAUUGCGCCCUUUGUGAGUAGUCAGUCUCUUCCUCUUCUGGUGCUGCUUGUUGUUUUGGGACUUGGGUGUUAUUUGGGGCAGCCAUGUAUACAGUUAAGUGAGGAGGAUAAUUAUUAAACAAGGAAGAGAAUGGAGAGAAUAUGAUGAGUUUCUUGUGGAAUACACAAUGCCCUCAUGAAGGAUAUUUAUAGAGUAGGAGGGGUUAAAAAAUUUGGGUCACUGUUGAUAGUGCUUUGUGUAAUAGUGGUCUAAAAGGAUAUGACAGUGUGGAAGCCACAAGCCCUUGGUGGUGUGUUCAAAAUUUAAAUAAAUGAAUGAGUUAAAGUUUCAUAUACCGUUGUGUAUACACGAGUGGUGUUAGGAUUGAGACAUUGAUAAAAUACUCAUGUUGGUCGAAAUUAUCGUUAUUAUAAUGAUGUGUCAUUACCCUAACAGCGUUCGUGUAAUACCCUACUCCAUCUAUUUUUGACAUGGGGACUGUAAAUUGUUUACUGUCUCCUCCUAGUCUAUAUAGGCACUCUCAUUUUCCUUCUCUCUCCCCUUAUGUGCACAUUGUUAGAAUUUGAGCCUAAUUUGAAAUGAGUUUCAUUAAUCAUUUGAAAUGAAUCCACAUAUCAACGUGUUAUACUCUAUGAGAAGAUUUAAAAUUUAAAAUUAAGUAUUUGGAAGCUCAAAUCCAUGGGAUAAUGAAUGAAAAAUUAACUCCCAAAAAUUACCUUUAGAAAUGAUAAUAAAUACUUGUGGGAAGCUAAGUUCUACAUCGGUUAAGAACUAAAGUAUUAAUGGGUUUAUAUACAAUAGAGUGCUCUUAGGUUUGGGCCCUAAAGGCACCCCACUUUUGUGAAAAGGGAGAGGACCUAGCCAAUAUUUGGUUCAUACUACUUCGUAUUAGCCAAUUUUCCAAGCAUUCUAGUCUUCAUUAUUACAUAAAUUAUUCGUAGUUUAGUUGUAAGGAGGACAUAAUUGUCUUAAGGACAUAGUACCAAGUAAGUUUUAUAUAUAUAGAUCAGUUUUCCUAACACACAUUAUUAAGCUAGCCCCUAAUUGUGCUAGAUUUGUGUUUACUGCAGCCUCUAGUUUAUGGUAUCUCUACUGUUUCUCAUACAAGAUCUCAAGUACUAAGUCUGUCAAACUUAUGACCUUAUAGGCAUAGCUAGUGAUCAUCUCUUGGAAAUAUGUACUUCAGUUUCUAAGAGCUAUCUAUGUUUUGUUUUUUUUGACUCAUUACCUCAAAAAAAUUUAUGUCAACACAUCCAAUUACUUGAGAUAAUGAAAAGUAACUAGGCUGCGAUUCUUCUGGUUUACAGUUCUAUUUAUUUAUUUCUUGAACUUAAUUAGUCCAUAUAAACAAACUUUGAAGAGUAAUUGCUUGUGGAAAAUUAUGGUAGUAACAUCUCAUGUUAUUGACAAAACCAUCUACUUUGGAUUGCCACUGAAUUUGAAACAUAUGGAAGAUAGACCAAGAGAAUCAUUCAGGCACUUUGUUGUUUUCCUUGGGGGGAAACAUUUUUAUUUUCAAUAAUGCAACUCUUUUAGCAGUAUGAAGAGUAAAUGCUAGAUAAUUAUGAGGAAGAAGUUACGUAAGUUAGGUUCUAUUCCAUUUGAAUAGAGAACCCCUUUGGUAGAUGAAGUGCUGCAUAAGCACAUACGUAAACACAGAUUUUGUGAAGAUUCAUAGCUGUUAUAAAAUUGUUGGGAGUGUGUGUGCAUUCCACACACCAGUGUGAAAAUAAACCAUUGGAAAAUUGUUGGAGUGUGGAAUCCAAACAAAGACCGCAGGCUCCUCAUUAUAAAAAUCGAAGCUAAAAGGAAAAGUUUUUUGUUUCAUUUCAAACUCCUUUCCACUCAAGAAAAUACCGAACUGGUUUGCAUUCUGCUACUUUUUUAAAAAUUAUUUAUUGACGUUUGGAGUGCUUCUUUCAAAUUCAUUUUGCCCAAUUAUAGUAUUUAACAACAUCCUAUUCCAACCAACUAUGAUAUAUAUAUAUAUAUAUAUAUAUAUAUAUAUAUAUAUAUAUAUAUAUAUAUAUAUAUAUAUAUUAAUUUCCUUCGAACUAUGGGACUAUUAAUCAGAAUUUGAAGUGUUUAGUCAACUGAUUAGUUACUUUUAUGGAUAAAUUAUAAAUUAUAAUAUUAUAUAUUCAAAAUUUAUAUUGUGGUUCUGGUCAUCUUCCUUGGAGACAACUGAGAGGAGCCACUCAAAGCAAGAAAAUGAAUUAAAUUAUUCUCAUUUACAAACAAUUGAUACCAAGGUAUAAUUAAAUCAGUAAGACAAAUGAGUGCAAUAUUAAUUAAUUAAUUAUCAAACUUAUUUAACAUUAUUUUAUCUUAUAGUAAUAUUGUUUAUUUAUUAUAGGCGGAAGGACAUGAGAAAGCAAAUGAAUUAAUACCAUCUCAUAACAAAGAUCAAAUUUAACUAAUAUUAGCAUGCUUCAUAUUAAGGUGUCAUAUGACCCUCCUCUGGCCCCCGUAGUUCCGCCGGUGGCUUCAAAAGGGAACUAUUGGUUCCUCUGGUGGGUUGGUUGGUUGUGAGUUCUUUAAUAUUCUGUGACUAUAUUUAAGUUUAUGGCCUUUAAUAUGGUCUAGUGCUAAACAAUAUUCCGUUUCCCUUUUUUGCUAGUAUUUACUUGAUGUAUUUAUUUUUCAGAAUAGUAUUUGAGUUUUAUCAUUUUGCUAUUGUAGAUGGUGGUUCAUAUGUAGUCUUGGAAAUUCCAUAGAGAAAAUUAGGAUACUUCAGUAAAAGAGUUUAUGAAAACAAUUAGAAUGAUAACUAAAAAUGACAGGAGUACAGGAACUCUGACAUUUUCAGAAGGAUUCUGGUAUGAGCACUUAAUGCUGCUUAGUGACGAAAUCACCCAAAACAAUAGGUCAAAAUCGCUCUAACGGUUGAUGGAGUAAUUGAUUGUGAAAUCAAACUGACAAAAUACACUCACAUAAACAUACACAAAGAGAUAAAAUAUGAACACAAUAAUUUUAGGUGGAAACCCAAUUGGGAAAAAACCACGGAGAGAGAGUAAUCCACUAUAAUAAUGGAAAAAAACCACGGAGAGAGAGUAAUCCACUAUAAUAAUAUUCGGAGUACAAGUUGUGUAUUUGUGUUGUAUCUCUUGUGUCAUUUUCCCUGCUUGUUGUAUAUAUAGAAGUCACUUCCACCCGCAUCCAACUAGGAGAAGGACUCCUUAUCCCUCCGAAUAAGCAAAUACAAUCAUAACUCUCCCACUGUGACAAUAAAUACAUAUGGGCCAUCACCAGAUGGGCCAUCACCAGAUCCGGAUACUGAGUUGCACCAUAGCUAGACCCAAAUAAUCACGUCCCAACACUUAGUGAAUAUCUAGAUCCAUCGUUAAUAAAAUCCAUCGUUAAUAAAAACGCAAAUAAAAUGAAUAUCAUUAAGAUUGUAAGUGUCCAUUAAAUACCUUAAUCGCUUCAAUUCAUGGUGGCAGGUUCUUACAUAGUUUUUCUUUAAGCUGAACAUUUUUUUUCCUUCUACUGUUCUUAUUUCUAUAAGCAGAAAAUGCAGAAAUGAUACUUGAGUUCUAAUUUCCUUUAGGCUUUUCCCCUUGGUAUAGUACUUCAAUCCCUAUUACCUAUAGUUCAAGUGGGAAGCAAACAUCCUUGUAAGAUAACCCUUGUGGUGUUUAGUUUUUGGACUAAGAAUGUCCUUACUUCCCUUCAUUUGAAAGCGCUAAAACUAGCAUUUAGUAAGGCCGUUGAUAUUGGUAGAGCAAAAAUGAUGCUGCCUAUAUGUAUUUAGCGACACUUCUACACUUUUUUGAACGAAACUUCAAACUUUACGUUGCUGUGGCAUUAUCAACGGGGUUAAGAUUAAGGGUGUUUUGUGAAAAUUUGUUGAUGGAGUGGCCAUCUUACUGCAACAGUUAUGGAGGUUAGAUGUAAUUCCCAUAGUUAAAAUAUAUAUUUUAUUAGCCUUAGUAAGUUAUAUACGAGAGUAUAGACGUACUGAAGUAGAUUUUCAUAGGCAGUUAAUGAAAUUCUCAAGUAUCAGUGAUUUAAGAAGAACAAUCCAUUUAACACUAUGUGAAGAUAAACUCUCUUAUUGGUAACUUGACUAUAGGCAUCUGCCGGUAAUUAAGGAUCAUGGCUUUGAUGCUCUUUUUAACAGUCCGACACCCAUCAUAAGCGAAGCAACUGAAACCAACCCAUCAUCGGCUCCCAUUACAGCUGCUCUAAGCCAUUGUGCCCUUUGUAAGUAGUCCAAGUCAUUGUCUUUAGGUGUUUGGUCUUUUCUUUGCUCAGUAUCAUUCUUAAGAUCAACUGGAAUUUGGAUAUCAUUCCGGGACGCCAUUAAGGUACGUACGUAAAAGAAUAAAUGAUCACCAGAAUAUAUUAAUGAAGAGGUAGGUUAUGAUAGAGCUUGUUGGGUAAGCAAGGAUC
rnacentral:lncRNA from 1 species